CCCAAAACUAGAAGAUGAUCUUGGUGUGUGAAUAGUGAAAACAAGAGAAAAAAAUAUUUUUCUCUCUCUUCCAAGCUAAACCGCCCUUCUCCUCUUCAAAAACUAAUGCAGAAUAACGAAUUAUGAUUAAAAGAUUCAGCAUCAAGUUUUUUUAAUAAUCUUUUCUCUCAUAAUUUCCUUCUAAGUCCCUGAACUAAUUAUAAAUGACAAAUUAGUCUUGGACAUAGUUUCUAGAUGCCACAUUUGGUCCAGACUGCUACUCUCUCUUGUGUCAUAUGCCAUCCGCAUUCCAUAGUCCCAUUAUGUCUCCAUCUACAUCAUUAAUACCUGAAAUCACUCUAAUCACAUUGGUUAGCUCAAUCACAUAGAAGUAGAGUAAAAACAUAAGAAACUAGGCACUUUGUUCUCCAAACUUAGCUAAAAUAUAGGUAAGUUAUGGUGCUUAGGCGUGUAAAUACACCCAAGAUCAUCAUACUAUAUGGUUAUGAGUUGAAUUAGCAAUUUUUAAUCUAGGCAAAAAUGAAGAAAACAUGCACUAGUUUAGAUACGAGUCAUAUUUUAUGACUCAUAACAUCUCAUUACAACUUAUAGCAAUCUUUCGUAUCUUGGAUAGAAACUUAGAGAACCAACACUGCUAACCAUAUGAACCUCACUCUACACCUUGUAACAUGAAGUGAUGACUCUUAGGGUUGAGUCAUCAAGUGACCUGAAAAAUUUAAUCAUUCCAUACUUUCUUGGUUACGAUACAGCAUAUGACUCUUAAGGAGUCUUAACGACUUGACAAAUAAGUGUACGUUCUAUAGAGACUUGAAAUCUAGGGGUAUAACAAUAUCUCCCUUUUGAAAACAUUCAUCCUCGAAUGUGAAUCAACUUAGAUAGGGAUUUUGGAACAUAAUCGACUCCUCCUCACUAAUCUUACAAUCAAGCUUAUAACUUAUCACUAGGAUUCCAAGGUCCAUGAACGCAAGUUACGACCUAAGAAUACUUGAAUAGAAUUACUAGAGAAAGAGUUUGCUGGAAUAAAGGUUUACCUUUGGCAAUAAGAGAAUUGGAAGAGGAAAAAUGAGGAUACUUGGUCAAUAUGUCUGCUUCAGCUUCCCAAGUGGCUUUUUUGACCAACUGAUUUCUCCAAUAAACUUUUACUGACGCUACAUCUUUAUUUGUUAGUCUUCAAACUUGUCAAUCAAGUAUAUCAACAAGAACCUCUUCAUACGACAAGCUAUCCUUGACCCCAAUACUUUCCAAGGGAACUACUAAAGGCGAAUUUCUAAUGCACUUCUUAAGCAUCAAAACUUGGAAAACUGGGUAGAAUGUCCAAUUUAUACACAACCUCUCCAACCCGUUUUACUAUCUCAUAUGGACCAAUUAAUUGGGAACUCAGCUUUCCUUUCUUUCCAAAUAUCAUUAAUCCUUUCAUAGGCGACACCUUAAAAAAUACCCGAUCUUCCACUUCAAACUUGAGCUCUCUUCUCUUUACAUCUGCAUACGAUUUCUGACAGCUCUGAGAUGUCUUUAGUCUUUCACAAAUCAACUGAACCUUUUCCAUAGAUCUAAGAAUAAAGUCUUUCACAAUCAAUAUUUCUUUACCAACCAUGAACCAUCCUAUGGGUGAUCUGCAUUUACGCCCGUACAACGCCUUAAAUGGAGCCAUCCGAAUGCUAGCAUGAUAACUAUUAUUAUAAGAAAACUCAAUCAAAGGUAGAUGAUCAUCCCAACUUCCUUUAAAGUCUAAGACACAUGCUCUAAGAAUGUAUUCCAAUGUCUGAAUUGUGCAUUCGGACUGACCAUCGGUCUGCGGAUAAAAAAUAGUACUAAGCUUCACUUUUGUGCCAAGGCCUUUCUGAAAUGAUUGCCAAAAUUGUGAAGUGAAUUGCGUGCCUCUGUAUGAAAUGAUGGACAAGGGUAUCCCAUGAAGCCUUACUAACUUGUGAAUGUACAUCUUGGCAUAAUUUUCCACUGUAAUCGAAGUCUUAACAGUUAGGAAAUGAGCUGAUUUGGUCAUUCGAUCGACUAUAACCUAAAUUAAAUCAUGCUGACAUCUUGUACGAUGAAAUCCUAUGAUGAAAUCCAUAUUUACUACUUCUCACUUUUAAGUAGGGACACUGGUAUCCUAUAGCAUGCCACCCGGUCUCUGAUGUUGAACAUUAACUUGCUGGAAGUUAGGAUACCUGGCUACAAACUCAACUAUGUCCCUAUUAAUAUGAUUCCAUAAUUAGAUUUCUCGUGAAUUACGGUACAUUUUAUUAGAACCAGGAUGAAUAGAACACUUUGAACUAUGAUAUUUUUCUAGUAUCCUUUCCCUUAACCUAUCUACAUUAGGAACACAAAUCCUACCUUGAUAGCGAAGUACACUAUCACCUCUUGGGAAAAAACCUUGACCUUAUGUCACUGGACUGCUUUUAAUAUUUGGCUAAGUAUAGGAUCAUUACGCUGCUUCUCCUUUACUUCCACUACCAGAGAUGAUUUCGAACUAUUCUGAACCAUUGAUCCCCCAUUAUCCGUGUUAAGCAAACAUACUCCUAAACGGGCCAACCUAUGCACUUCUUUGGCCAACUCUUGUUCUUUCUCUUUCACACAAGGCACACUACCCAUAGAGAGCCUACUCAGUGCAUCUGCCACCAUGUUAGCCUUACCCGGAUGAUAAAGAACAUUCAUGUCAUAAUCUUUCAAUAACUCCAACCACCUUUUUUGAUAAAGAUUUAUCUUCCUUUGAGAAAAUACAUAUUGUAGACUUUUAUGGUCAGUGAAAACAUCAACAUGCAUACCAUACAACUAGUGUCUCCAAAUAUUCAGGGAAAAUAACACAAUAGCUAAAUCCAAAUCAUAAGUUGGGUAGUUCUUUUUGUAAUCCUUAAGUUUCUGGAGGCAUAAGCUAUUACUCUUCCAUUCUGAAUCAACACACAACCUAACCCAACUCUAGAAGCAUCAGAAUAUAUUAUGAAUCCAUCUAACCCCUCUGGCAGAGCUAACGCUGGUGUUGAAGUUAAUCUAUCCAUUAAUUCUUGGAAACUAUUUUCAUACUUAUCUAACCAUACAAACUUCACCUUCUUUUAUGUAAGAUUAUUCAAUGGUGCAACUAUGGAGGAAAACCCUUCAAUAAAUCUUCUAUAGUACCCAACUAAACCCAAAAAGCUCUUGAUAUUGGAUGGAGUGAUGGAUCUAGGCCAAUGGUUCAUUGCAUUAGUCUUAUGAAGGUCCACAUGAAUACUUUCCCUUGAAAUGGUAUGCCCCAAGAAGGUAACAAACUCCAACCAAAAGUCACACUUACUAAACUUCAUAAAUAAUUAACGAUUCUUUAGGGUUGGCAAUAUUAUCCUCAAAUGAUCCGCAUGCUCCUCCUCACUCCGAGAAUAUACCAAUAUGUCAUCUAUAAAAACAAUGAUUAAAAUGUUCAAGUACUACUUGAAGACCCUAUUCAUCAAGUCCAUAAAGGCUGUAGGAGCAUUUAUUAGUCCAAACGACAUAACCACAAACUCAAAAUGACUGUACCUUGUUUGGAAAGAUAUUUUUAAAAUAUCGCGCUCCAUGACUUUCAACUGGAGAUACCCUAGACUAAGGUAAAUCUUAUAAAACCACCAGGCAUCCUAGAGCUAAUUGAACAGAUCAUCAAUUCAAGGAAUAGAGUACUUGUUCUUAAUGGUAAUCUUGUUUAACUGUCUAUAGUCUAUGCAUAUUCUAGGAGUGCUAUCUUUCUUAUGCACGAAUAAAAUUAGAGUACCUUGUAUGGAAAAAAUGGGUCUAAUGAAAUCCUUAUCUGGGAGAUAUUUAAGCUUCUCCUUCAACUCUUUAAGAUCAGCCAUAGCCAUACGAUAUUGUAACACCCCACAUUUUUGAGCUAGAAAUCGAAUCGUUGUUCCUACAUGUGUAAACUCUAAUCCCAUGAUUUACAUUUUGAAUACAUGUUUCAUGAUAAUUAUACCAGUGUGAAGGGUUCUCAUUAGGCAAAAAAUGUUUAUAGGAAUCAUUUAGAGCAAAGUUGAGCUAAGAGCCUUUGAUUCGAUCAAAUUUUGGUAUUUGAUUCUACAAGGGUGAACUUAAAUAACUUUUGAUAUAUGUAGAAUUUUGCAUCUAAAUACCCACCAAAUGAUUCAUAAUUGAUUUAGAUUUCCAACAAUACCAAUUUUUCCUUAAUCCAAUAUCUGAGUGAAAAGUUAUGACCAUUUUGGUGAGAUUCAAAAGAGUCGCAAUAGCCCCGUGCCACAGGGGCUAUUCAAUCUGACUAGGGUCUUAUUGUGAGGGAUAUUCCAAUGGACUAGAUGUCACUCCACGAGGGAUAUUCGCAUGGGUAAAAGAGUCCAAGGGGUAGUAGGUCCUUUCUCCUCAACCCCAACCGUCCAAACACGAUUUAAAAUACAAAAGGGCCAUUAUUUGCCUAUCUUCCUAAAAAAACUCAUGUAAAACUCCUCUCCUUUCCCAAGAACAAUAAUCCAAGCUUAUUCUCUCAAGAACUAACAAAUUUGAGAUCUGACUUCAAGAUUUCUUCAAGAAUCUGUUUAAUUAAGGUAUGUGGGGUUUUGAACAAGGUUAAUCUUUCAUCCUUGUGCACUAAAGUAAGAUUUUCAAAUUGAAUUUACAUAGUUUAAGUUAGGGUUCAUUCCCAAAUCCUCAUGUGUUGAAAGCAUAGAAUUAUUAUGUAAUUUAAGGGACUAAAGAGCAUAAGAGUUGUAUUUUUUUAUGUUUCCAACUACAAGUUUGAUAUUUUGUCUUGAACUUUGUGAUUUUGAUGAGAAAGUGUUAUUCUCCUAAGUUUAAUACACCCCCAUGCUUAAAUUCAUGUAUUAUACUCAUGUAUUGAAUUGUCAAAUGUUUUGGGUCUCCAUAUUAUGACUUCAUAUUACUAUUUUGAAGAGUUGUUAGCAUACUUUAGUAAUCAUUUAGUACUGGCAGGUUAUGAACACCCGUUACUAUAUGUUUACUUAGGUUUUAGAUUUUUCAAGUGAUAAUUUAGUCCACCCAUGAUUUUAUAGUUAAACUCAGUUUGUUAUGAUCUUAUUGAGCACUAUCAAUUUACAUAUCUAUAAUUACCUCAGAAUCUAUAUGCACUAUUAUUUUCAAAAUACCAUGAUUUGAUCUUAUCAGUUAUCAGUGCAUGCAUCAGUUAGUAUUUUAGUGUCUUUCAAUUGGGAGUAGGAUUUAGAACCGAGUGGAAAGUGUGGGUUCAACGCAUCUUAUUUCCACUGAAACUACGUGCCACCGAUUUAGGGGCCUCGCCAGAGUGUUUCCCUUUGCCUAAUAUGGACUCAGUUUAGUGACCACUCCAGCUCAAGUUUUAUUCCGAUGGCAAGGAUAGAACAACCCUCCUCAAUGUGGGUCAGACGUUGGACUCUAUGAUAGAUAACAUGGUUUAUAUUAGUUAUAUGAUAGCUCCCACAGUUUCAGUCAGUAAUCAGUUUAUUUCAGUUUAGGUUUAUUAGACCAAGUAGAUAGAUUACAAUAAUUAUUCAGUCAAUUUUAUAGAUUAUUCAUGUUAUUCAAGUCAUGUCAAUACGUGCUAUACUUGUUCUUUAUUCUCAGUUUUACAUGUUUAUAUUUUCAUGCUCAGUAUCUAUACAUGACCCUCAGUUCAGUUUUACAACAUGUUCAGCUUUACAUGAGAUUUACAUACAACAUUCAUGUUUUACGACUUCCCAACUUCAGUUCUACUUAUUCUACCAAAGUAAAGAUUUAAUAACUAAGUGUAGUGAUUCACCAGCUUAUCAAAUUAUGUUUGUUGCUCAUGUUUUAAGAUACUUCAGCUUUUAGUUAAUUUCAGUCUCUUGGUGAGUCUACCUACACUUAGCAUGUAUGUUUAAAGAUUACAUAUCUAUUUAGUUUUAUUUAUUUCAUUCACCCCUACUUACUCAAUAAAUUUCAAAGUACUGAUCCAUAUAUAUGUCUAUGUGAUACAUUGUCUCAUAAUGUGGUACCAGUAGUAGCCCCCAUAUCAUAAUCAGACAGUUUGCAGCUUCCAGCUAAUAGGUGAUAAGUUUCCUUAUUCUGGGGACUCUAGUCAGUUGUAGUUCAUGUACUAUAUUAUUAUUAUUCAUAUAUAUUGAUUAAUGGUAGUUGGAGUCAAGUCCUAACUAUCUAUAGUUAGUAUAGUAGAGGCUUCAUAGAUAAUCAGUCAGAGUCAAUACAUGUAAUUCAAGUUUCUUUCUUCAAUUUUUUCAUGAUGUAAACUUUAUCAGUAUUUCAUUUAUUCAGACUUUCUCAUAAUCAAGUUUGCGCUCAGUAAACAUAGUUUUUACACAUUUAAAAUCAGUUUCUUAAGCAGUAUGCCAGUUCAUAGGUUAGCUUAGGAUCACUUAUGGUUCCAAGUAUCAUGUUACGAGUAGGGGUAGUCUCGGGUCAUGAAAGAUACGAAGGGAUAGGGAUGGGCUGGGUAUCAGGAAGAUGAUCAAUACUGAACUCUAUUUCUCUGUAUAGAGGUACCCAUGGCAGAUCUUUGAGAAAAAUCUCUGGAAACUCAUUGACUGUACAGACUGAUUGAACUAUCGGAACUUUAGACUUAAUAUCUUUAACUCAAACUACAUAACCCCUUUGAAAUUGAAUUCCUGGCCUUAAUAUAGGAGACGAAGCAACCUUUAGGAAACAUAGAAUUACCCUUCCACUCAAAAAUUAUCUUACUAGGAAACUGAAACUUCACUAUACGGGUGCAAUAAUUUAUUAAUGCAUAAUAUGAGUGGAGCCAAUCCAUGCCCAAAAUGAUGUUAAAGUCUAUCAUAUCUAACUCUAUUAAAUCCAGUAGUGUGACCUUAUAAAUGAUGGUAAUAGGACACUUUUUAUAGACUCACCUUGCGAUAACUGGCUCACCCAUUGGGGUAAAGACUAAGAAGGGCUAAGAUUUUUUAGGCUUACCCCAAAAUUUACAUCAGCCAGUGGAGUUGCAUAAGAGAUAUUUGAUCCCAGGUCUAACAAUACAUAUACAUCAAGGUAAAAGACAUGAACCAUACCAGUGACAAUAUCUGGUGAACUCUUUUGUUCCUGAUGGGAUGGCAAAGCAUAGAAUCAAUACUGGCACUGACCGCUACCGAUGUUAGAUUAUGUACUCCGUGGAGGACUGGGUGGCCUAGAUGUGCUUUUGAAUUUAUAGCCUAAGUCUGGGAACGAACAUCUCUACUUCUCUUCUUAGCAUACAAACACUUCUUGAUCCUGUGGCCCAACUUGGUACAACCAUAACAACCCUCUUUGCCCAAUAAACACUAACCAUAAUGGGUCUUACCACACUUUGCACAAGUUGGAUAACUGGGCCUCCCGACCACACUAUUCUGAGACCUUGAAUACAAAGUCCUACCCCACUGAUAUUUUCUAUUUCUGGGUGCUGGGGCACUAACUGAGGAUAUAGAAGGCAAUGAUGAGUGACUUUGGAAUUACGAAUGACAUACCUCUUUGUAUCAUGGUUGACUAUAAUCAAACUAUCUAGUCCUAGCUCUUUUGUUCCUCUUCUCUCUUUCCUUUAACUUUUCACCUCAAUCUAUUAUACAUGACUCAUCAAUCGAGCAACAUCUAUAUCUCCAAUCAGCAUAGCCGUCUGACACUUUUUUACCACCAAAUCUAAUACCCCAGUAGCAAAUUUACUCAUGCAAGCUCUAGAGUUUGAUGACAACUUUAAAACAUACUUAGCUAGUUGGGUAAACUUAAGGCAAUAUUCCUUCACUAUUAUAGAUUCUUUCACUUGUUAGCCUCCCUCAUCUAGCAAGGAAAGAACCUUCCUGGGAAAGUAUUUUGAAAGACCUACCAACUCAUACGAGCUGCAUUCUCACACCUACCAUCCUUCCACAUAACGACCCAAUCAUAAGAAACAUCUUUCAACCGAUAAGAUGACAGUUCCACACUUUCCUAUUUAUUGACAUACAUGAUCUGAGUAAUCUUUCUCACCUUGUCAAUAAAGAUUUAAGGAUGCUCAUCCAUCUUUGACCUGUAGAACUCAGGUGGAUUCAUUUUCAUAAAGUACUGAAUCCUGGCUGUAUCUAAGUUACCAUUUUGUUGAAGUGGGCUAUUGCUUGUUAGUUUCCCUGAAUAUUUACAUUCACAACUUAGGCCAAUGCUUUAAAGGUAGAUUGAAAUUUGGCAUGAGAGUCAUUUUUGACUGGGCAAUCUGUGUGCAGUGGUGGUUGAUCACCAUUUCUGCAGACAUAAGCUCAACGAGGAGGCAUAUUCUAUCACGUGAAAGCAUAAAUUAGAGAAAAUAUUGAAAAAUUCAAGCACAAUAUAUCAUGAAAGAAAAGAUUAUUCCUAACUCAUUUUGUGGCCUCUUGCUCAUAAAAGUGGCGCGCUUCACACUAAAUAUCAAGAUUCUAUGUAAUGCAGCUUAUCUAACUUCCUAGGACUCUUUAAAACCUUAGGUUCUGAUACCAAGUUUGUAAUGACCCGAGAGUAGCCCCUGGAUUUUACACGGUACUUAGGACUAUGAAUAGUCCCAAGCUAACCCAUGAUAUCUAUUCAUCUCAGAACUCACAUGAACUUUGCACUAAUAUAUACAAAACUAAAGGAAAACAAUUCAAUCUUAUUAAAGAUCUGUAAGUUUGGAAACCUUAAACACACUCUUUGAACUUUAAAUAUAUACAGUCUAACAAGCCUGUACUUCUUGCUAGAGAGACAUUGGGAUAGACCCUAGAUGACUCAAACAUAAACUGAAAUCAAGCAACUAAGGUAACUUCUAUCAACGACUUAGAAUUUGAUAAGCUGGGCCCUCGAACUAUGAGGACUUACUAAUUAUUGGGAUGAAGGAUGUAAUGUUCGUGAUUAAUCGUGCUGCUGGCAAUGAGCACUAGAACCAUAUUAUAAGACAAUAUAGCACAUAGACAUAUAUAUGUAGGUCAGUACUUUGGAAUAUACUGAGUAUAUGAGAGUGAAUGCACCAGUAAAAUAGAAAUCAAAUAUGUAUCUAUAUAUAUAUAUAUACUUUUGAACCAAUGCAUGCUGUGUAGAGGACUCACCUUGAACUUAAGUAAAACAGAAAGCUAUAUGAUUACAAAACAUGAGUAACAAAGCAUACUGAAUAAAAUUAGUGAGUUAUUCCACUUAGUUUCUAAAAUCUUUGCUUUUAGUCUUUCUAGCGGGAGAUUCUUCUAACCGACAUAAACCAUAUGAGCUAUCAUAGAGUCCAACAUCUUACCCACGUGGAGGAGAGCUGUCCUACCCUUGCCAUCAAAAUAGAACCUUAACUUAAGUGAUUACUUGCUUAACCCAUAUUGGGACUUAAACCUACGAUGUCUCAUACAACAACAACAACAACAACAAACCCAGUGUAUUCUCACAAAGUGGGGUUUGGGGAGGGUAAGGUGUACGCAGUCCAUACCGCUACCUCCGAAGAAGUAGAGAGACUCGUAGUUUUUAGAAAUUUAGGAUACGCUCAUCCACAUUCCCCUCUCUAUGCUAGAUACUACUCCCAAUAUAUAUAUAUAUAUAUAUAUAUAUAUGUAUAUAUGCUCAUACUUAAGAAAUCCUCCUUAAAAUAGCAUAAGGAUUUAUAUAAUGAAAACUAGUUCUGCUUCUCUUUACUUAAAUCAUGAUCAUAAGGAACACUUGUGGAUUUCAUAUCUUAUCUUAGAUCAAAGAUUGAAUUAAACUUAAAUCAUACUGUAAUACAUAUAAUUGAAGCUUAGAGCUUAGAUUUCUUGUAACUCAAUGCUCAUGCUUAAGCCUUAAAAUUUAUAUUUUCUCUCAUAAAAUUUAUAAUAAAAUCAUGCAUAGUACUUACAUAAAAAAAUUUCAUCAAAAUUCAAGACAAAUAAGAAAAUUCAAAUCACCAUAAUCAUUUUGCAAUUUAAAAUAUGAAUAAGGGGAAAACUCUUCUGCACUUAAGUCUUUCAAACACAGGAUAAUGUUAUACUUCAAAAGAUGAGAAAAUGGGCAUGAACCCUAAUUAAAAACAUAUAAAUUCAACUUGAAAGUUAAAUUUUUGGUCACAAGGAUGAAAGAUUAUCUUUGUUCAAAAACCACACAUACCUGGAACUAUUUGACUUAUGAAGAGGACUUGAACUUUGAGACUUGAGAUAUGACGUGAUAAGGGAAACCCUAAUCUUGGUGUUCUUGAAGAUGGAAGGAGAAGAAGUAUUGUUAUUCUACUAAAUGGUAAGGAAAAUAACACUUCUUUGGGGUUAUAAGUCGUGGGUUGAGAGUUUUAAGAGGGGAAAAGACCAAAAAACCCCUUAACUAUACUUAAAGAAAUUCAACCAUCUGUCAUCAUGAGUCAUCUAGAAAGCUGCACUGGUCUAGAUAUAAGUCAUAUCUUAUGACUCGUAGCAUCUCAUUACGACUUAUAGAAACCUCUCGUAGCUUGGAUAGAAACUUAGAGAACCAAUACUACUGACCUUAUGACCCUCACUCUAUGACUCGUAACAUGAAGUGACAACUCCUAGGGUCGAGUCAUCAAGUGACCAGAAACUUCGAUCAUUCCACACUUUCUUGGUUAUGACUACAACAUACGACUCAUGAAGAGUCUUAACAACUUGAUGGAUGAGUCGUAAGUUCUACUGUGACUUGAAAUCUUGGGGUAUAACAUCUCAUAACCUAUGUUAGAUACAUAGUUAUGGAAUUUAGGGACCGCUACUAAAGGCCUUACCCUCGAUCGGCAGGUGAGCCUUCAUCCCUCUAUUUGCUCAGUGCUAAGUUCUACUGUCAACUGAAAGACACAGAAGUAUAAUUGAAUCAUGAACUGAUGAUUGAUGUGCUCAAGUCAUGGUAUUAUGAAAAUAAAAAUGCAUGUAUAAUCUGAGGUAAUCAUGAACAUGUAAACUAAUAUAUGUAUGAUUUCCUAGGUAUCAGGUGUUCAUAACCCACUAGCUCUAUUCAUAAUAAUAUUAACUGACAUUAAGAAGAAAUUCACAAUUUAGGCCCCAAAACCCAACAACUUUCAUAGUAAGAAAUUCAUGUUUUUGAACAUGGGUAGAUGCUAUUCUUAUGGGAAAACAUGUACUCAUGGUUUACUUACAAAAUAAACUAAAGAAAUUAGAAAAAACUCAUAUUUGACCUGGAUACCAUAACAGGAAGAGAAUUAAGUUUAAGGAUUGAGAAAUCUUAAAAAUAUAAGUAUAUCAUGCAUGGACAUGAGAAUAUCAUGCAUGAUAUAUUAUGGGCCUAAGAAUUCAUGAAUAAUCAUUAAAACAUGCUUAUGAGUGAAAAUUAUAUCAUGAGGAAUUGUAUUUAAGCAUAGAAUAAAAGUUAGAUAAAAGCCCUAGAUCAUGAAAAUCAUAAAAUUCAUAAAUAUUUUGGGCAUGAGGAUGAAAGGAGAUCCUCAUUAAAUAACCACAUACCUGAUUAUUUUUGAUUCUUGAAUUGAAGUUUUGGAAAUUUAGACUUGGAGAUGAAAAACCCUAAUUUCUUGCUUUGGAGAAGAGAAAAUCGCAUGUUCUUGGAGAAUUUUGUGAGUUGUGUUUAGAAUGAGGGAUUUGGAAUUGUUUUUGCUUUUUAUUCCGCCUUGAAAUAGCUUAAAUAACAUAUUUUUGGCGGUUAAAAGAGCGGAAAAAGACUUUAAAACCCCUUAGAAAUUGUCUGGACAUCGUCUGGAAGCGGUCCCAACGACUUAGGUCACGACUCAUAGGGUUUGGACCCUAGUCGUGACUUGAGUCAUGGUCAUAUACCCAAUUUCAACCUCUACUUCCUAGACUACGACUCCCUCCUAACAACCCGUAAUGAGACAUUAUGAUUCGUAGUCUGGGCAACUUUGACAGUGCUUUAGUAUUUUUCCAUAACUUUUCAAGACAAUAUCGGAUUAAGGCUAAAUUGAUAUCGCUGGAAGCUAAUUAAAUUAUCUAUAUGGCGGUGGGCAUUGGGCUCAAAAAGUCUUAGUAUACAAAAAUUUAUGCUCAUUUAAAGAUGACUAUAAUUAUAUUCUUCACGAGAAUUUAAUCACUAAGGGAUAUUUUGACUUGUCUAUAAGCUAGGAACUAUUUGUGACUGUAAUAUACGUCUAAAUCACCAUAAAACUAUCAAACACGAGGUUUGAUCUUCCAUGAUCUUAAAGCAUGGUUCAAAUAUUUUCUUGGAUUUUCGCGUUGUUAUACUUCUUAGGAUCACAAAGAGUAUGAGGAACAUGUUUCUCUAAAAUCGGGUAUGAAAUUGAGCCUAUGUCAAUAGAGGCAAAACUGGUGACUGACAUGCCCUCCACUAUUGCUUGGCAUCUCCUUCCAACUAGAAAGUAACAAUAUCAACAUGUGGUGCUCAAUAAUACCCAUUUUAUGCAACCUUAAAUAACAUUAAUAAUGAACUCAAAUACAUCCUCCAUCUCAAAGUCAACAAAAGUAGGAGGUUUCAUCUCUAGGAACUUGGUCAACAUGUCAUACUCAAUCCCAAUCAUGAUAGGACCUACACUGUUUAAGGAAAAAUCUAAGUCCCUAAGGACUUACCUAUUUUAGGAGCAACUAUAGCAGUCAGCUGAAUACCUUAAAAUAGAUAGACAAACAUAGCAGAAGUGGCCCCAGUACCGACCAAUCCAAUAAAAAAAUGAAGCAUCUACUGAAUAAUCAUAGGAUUCAUUAUUGGAAGAGCUUUAUCUAUAACUGAUUCCACUUUUUCCUACUCCAUAACAUUCUUAUUUAUCUCCCCAACCUCUCUAUAAUGAUCCUACGAUGGAGAGAUAUCACUAAUCUUUGAUGAGGGUGAUCAGUUACUACUGCAGUACCACCUAUGGUAGGUACUGCUCUCUCUGUUCCACUUAACAUACUCCUUUCGUAUAUUUAUCCUUGUACUUUUGUUUUUUCACCUAGAGCUACUGGUGUAGGGGCUAGGACUUUGGCUUUGUUUGCUCUAGUAUUCACCAUUUAUGGAAAAAAUAAUAAAGAAGGUGAGCUACCAAUUUGUAUCACCAUAUACCAAUUAUAACCAAGUUAUCAUAAAAGAAGAAAGAAAUAAUAGUUUCCUAAAGUCCUAUAGCCUUUCAAAGAAAAGUACAGAUGUUUUCAUACCAUUUUGCAAGACUCUACUGGACUUGUUUUGGUACAACGAGAUCAAUGAACCUAGGGUACUAAUAACAACUUUUUCAUGACCCAAACCCACUAUGAGUGACACCCACACUAAUCCCCGGUGGGAGAUCCAUCUAACACUAAGCAUGCUACCCAACACUUAGCCAAAAAUAAGACAAACUAGCUAUUUUACAUUAAUAAGAACUAAAAUCCAUAAUACAACAAGAGAUGCAGAAUAAUAAAACUAACAACCCUUAGAACUAAAAAAUCAUUAAUCAAAACUACUAUAAUGUCAAUAAAUGGAUUAAUCCAAAAUAAAUAAAAAUGUCUAAGUCUGAAAAAAUGGACUAGAAUAUGAAUGAAUGAAAUGGAAACUUGAAAUAUGCAGGUCACCCUUUAAAUCAAAUGUUAUCCACUCUAUAGUCGAUGUCUCACAAUAGUAUUUGUAAUAUUAUCUCCUCUCAAUAAAAAUAAGAGCACGUGUGGUAUCAGUACAUAAGAAAGAACGGUGUACUGGUAGGGUCAUCGGCUAACCCAAAAUAAGAAAUAUCGAUAAGUAAUCAUAACUUAGUAAAGAAAGAACAACCAGGAAUACCUUACUUCAAGUUCAUAACGCUUAAUCUUAUUCAACAACAUUAUGGUGUUUAGUCAAUACAAGUCAGCAUGGAUAACAAUUCAAGUCAAGACCAUGAUUACCAACAAGACUUCAAGUCAACAACUAUGGCUCUACCUAUUAUAUAAAUCACGUCUCAAUUACACAAUUAAAUAGACAAUAUAAAGUUUUACCUACCGUACAAUUAAAUACUAACCACUCAAGGAUCCCUUCUAAUAACAAUAAUGGAAAAAUCAUGAAUUUUGGUUUACAUAAAGAAACUACAUACAAUAACUAAGAACACAAACUUGGUUCACUUACAAAAGCAAUAUAACCGAUCAACACUUAAGCUCGGGUUACUUAAGAACCAAUAUAACAACUAAACACAUAAUCCUUGAUCCACUGAAGGAACUGUCACACUCACGCGAACCUUAUUCAUACAUGCUAAGAGUCUUAUGGAUGCCCACUAGCCAUGACCUACUGAGGACAAGCUAAUUUUGUCCAUGUACCAAAAAUCAUAGAUAUUCAAUGUCUGCCAACGUUAUGUCAACCAAUCCCAUGAAGAUGUUCAACUAUUAGUUGAUCCUAUGAUAACAAAUAUAAUCUCACAAAAAUUUUCAAAUACCUAUAUAUCUUACAAUAGUGAUAGAUAUCAUAACAAUCACAACUACAAGGAUAACAUAAAUAAUGCUAGUAAGAACCAAUAAGCUUUUGUUAUAAGUUCAUUGCAUGCUAUUUAUUCCUGAACGCACAAGAAAAGGUAGCUAGCUUUUUCUAGCUUCUAUAUAGGCCCUUCCACUUUGGUGUAUUUACGUUUGUAUUGCUACUGAAUGAACAUAUCAAAUAAAGCCGAGCAGUAUAAGCCCUUCUCCGGCCUGGAAAAAGCAACGAACUCUAGAAGCUAGGGCUUUGUUCACCUUUGGAAACGAACACUAUCCCAUUCUCAGUGAAAACCCACCUUAGAGAUUAAACGGCAAUAAGAUAAGUCAACGUUCAAUCUAAGACAGCGCUGCGCGCUGAUAGCUUAUAAAUGGUUUUUUCAUUCGCUAUGCACUUACUAAAUGCGUACUCGCAUGAUCAAUCGAUGAAUGGGGAAAUUGCGUGAAUGAUGAGACCGUCCUAACCUAAAGUCAAGGCUCUUCCCUCUCUUGAUGGAGAAUCUUGAUUGACUGACACUAGGAGCCGAUUCAGAGAAAGAAGAAGCAUGGCAUGAGAUAGGUAGUGGAGAAAUUUCUGAUAGCAAAUUACUUGACUCUAUGGAUGGAGGGAGAACCCUCUAACUCAAGCAUGAAAUAAAUGUUGAGUCAACAAUCAUCAAGAGAGAUGGAGUCUGUAUCAUGGUGAAGAUAAGGUAAGGCUGUGAUUCUUGCUAAAAAAAUAGACUAAAAUCCUUCAAGUUAUUGGCUUAUCCAACCCCGUAGCAUUCAUGAGGGGAAUGGUUUCCCGGUUUUCUCAGCCUGGUGUCCUGCACCUCGUGUUCAUGAUAUCUACAUUCAACUGUGCCCCAGAGACACGGUCGAAGCACGCCCAUCUAGUGUGUUUCUUUCACAACAUUCUAUAGUCCUGGGUGUCUUCCAGUGGUCUUCUAGUCUUAGAAGAAGUCAUGUCCGCCCCAGGCAUCUGUAACAUCCUCUUUCGAUAUUCUAAUCUGGGAGAACUAAAAGACUGACCCAUUUGGUGACUUUCACGGUCGCCCUCACUAAACUAACUUGAAUGCCCAAACGUACAUAAAUUUAGUACUACAAUAAUCAAAUUAUGAUUAAAAUAAUUAAUUCUAGCAUCCUAUAUACAAUAAUAUCGAAUGUUAAUCUAAUCCCUUAGGGGUCGUUUGGUUUGAAGGACAAUAAUGUCGAACACUAAUCUGGACAUUUGGUCUGAAGACUGAUGAAUUAAUAUGGUAUUAAGUUUAUUCCAAUGUUUGAUUUGUACUUUUAAUCAUGUAUAACUAAUCUUGGUAUAACUUAAUAUACCUACAAAAGAUAUUAUUUUAUAUAACCAACAACAACAUAGAAUAGCCAAGGUGGAGCUAGAUUAUAGCUUAGGGGUUCUAGUAGCUUUGGUCCAAACAUUGUGAUGCUUUUUAAAAGAUAAAAGCGCAAAAUAUGACAAGGUCCCCAAGUCUUAAGAGAAAAAUGGUAAAUGAAUCAUACACUUUUUUAAAGUGAAGUGCAAAAUUUAUGAAAAAUAAAAAAUGCCCAACAUAUAUGAAUUUUGUACUAUAGUAAUCAAAUUGUGAUUAAAAUGACUAAUUCCGGCAUCCUAUAGACAAUAAUGCUUAAUAUUAAUCUAACUCCUCAAGGGCCAGUAAAAUAAUUAUGGUAUACAUUUUUUAUAUGUUUUAUUUGUAAUUUGAUUCUAGAACCAAUACUUGAAUAUAUGAGAAGAAUCCACCAAGUGUUUUUGCAUCUAUUGAGAAUUGAAUCUGAGACCUCAUCAUUCUCAACCCACUUCAUUGAUAAUUGACCAAAUGGGCGCAUAUUAAUUUAGAACAUAAUAACUUAAAAAGACUAGAAAUCCGGACCCAUAAACAUCAAAUCCUGGUUCCGCCUAAGGGAAUAACUUAUCCAUGUAUAACUUAUACAAGGAUAAAACAUAAGAAGUACAAAACUACCCUUUUCUUUUUCCAAGAAUUCAAUAAAAGUCAAGCAUCCAAGGAUAUAUUAUAAAUUGUCUUGUAGUUAAAAAAUAAAACAAAAAUAUAUUGUAUAUCCAGUUUUAGCGCAAUAAACCAAAUACUCAACAAGAAAUAAUCCAUAUAUAUUAUUCCUAGAUUAUUAAUCUCUUCAUUAUAGUCCCUGUAUAACUGAUCCUCAAACCAAACAACCACUCAAAAGUUAAUAUUCAAAGAACCAACUGCUUCUUGUUGGAAUAGCUUUGCACGCCAUUCUUUGAACUUUAAAGUGCAUAUUUCUCCAAAGCACAUUGCGUCAAGAAAUGGCUUUUAAUAAUACUGAUCAAACACCCAAUCUAGUCACUGGUUUCUUUCCAAAAUGACAAGUUACUUAAUCUCUACUAAAGAACCUAAUGAAUAUAUUCAAAGUAUUUUGAGUGCAUUUAACAUAGCGGCAAAUGUUAUUCUAAAAAAUUAGAAUUCAUCUUGAAAAUAGUUUAUCUUGGAAAUCAUUUUUCUGACAUAGGUUAGUUGUACAAGGUGUAGCCAGUUCCUAACUACAGUAAAGUAGUAUUGCAGUAAGGUGAUGUUCAUAGUCUAACUUUGAGGGAUCUACCAAAUAUUGAUAGUGGGGAUAUGCCUAUGUAGACACACAACAUCAACACCCAGGUAGCUUGUUAAAUGAGAAGGACCUUUAUGAUCUCACAAACUAGGUGUGACUUGUGCGGGACUAUUGAUAUGGGAUGUAAAUAAAGUGAAACGGAUACAUAGUUCAUUUUAAAGAGAUCCCAACCAAUUUGAGAUUAAUACAAUUUUAUUAUUUUGAUUGUUCUUAGGGUUGGAGGUAUGUAGAAGAAGAGACUAGUAUUUGUAUUUAGAACAUUAAAAAAAAGGUAUUUUAUAAUUAUUCGACUUUUUUGGUUAGCGGGAGAGAUAGUUAAAUGCUCAUUUCGCAUCUUUUUAUAUUGUUCAAACCAUCAGGAGCCAAAGAGAUACCUCUAUUCAUAAAGAGUACAAAGGGAAAGAAACUUGAAAAGAAAUCCCAUCAAGGAUUUCACAACAUUAUUGUGAUGUGAUCCUUUAUGUAACAUUCACUAGUUUGUCCGCUUAUUACCAAACUAAAGCACACAAUUCCUUCUGUCCUAAAGUAGUUUUUAUUUUCUCUUUUUAUUAUUUUCAAUUUUGGGUUUGUCCAAACGUUAUUUCAACCUUUUUAUAAAGAUGGCACUUUUUAUUUUAAAAUUGUGACGUCCGGGCCAACUUUUACGCACUGCGACUAAAUCCAUGGGAUACCUGCCACCUUCCACUAGCAACAAAAAUCAGGUAGCUGUAUCCACCAAGGCUAUGAUAUGCUUUUUGACUCUACUAGGAUUUGAACCUAUGACGCUUAUGUUCUCAACCCACUUCAUUCACCACUAGGCCACACCUUUGGGUGAUUUUGUAAGGAUAGCAUUUCUCAACAUUUCUUCAAUAUCUUCCCAAUAUAAUACUAUUUUAUUCAAUAACCGGCCCUAACUAGUUUGGCAUCGAGACUUGACGAAAAGAUUGAUCUUAUGUUACUUGCACUCUCUAACUUAUGUUUCUUAGACUCAAAAAUGUCAUUGGAUGCGUGUCGGAUAUUCUAAAAGUAGUGUAUUUUUUGAAGGAUCCAACACAGGUGUGGAAAAUUUUUGGAUAGUCCGAGCAACAUAGCCUACACUAAAUGUGUUAAUUCCUAAUUCAUUCUAAUCUUAUAUGAUUUCACCUCCAUCAUACGUUCAUAUUUCUAUAACACUUGUCUUGUAUAAAGGGACUUGUCCCAAUAUUUACUUACAUGAAAUUUGUUGCUCUCAUAAUCUUCCUAUGAGUGUUGCUUCUCAUAAUCUUCCUACAGAACUGAUCUUUCUUUUGAUGAUUAUCUUCCUAUCACCUACCCAGUGUUAUCAAGAGCAAGAAGCGCAAAAAAGCUCUAAGGUCUUUUGGUGCUUAAAGUGCAAAUAAAAGUGUGGGUUUCAACAAAAAAAGGCACAAAGGGAGAAAACAUAUUAAUAUUUAUGUUUAGUCCAAGAAUAAUUAUAAGAAUGAACGACAAAUAUGUGAACAAAGAAAUUGAAACAUAAUUACGAUAAAGUGAAAUAUCAAUAGUUUAGUACCGCCUCUUCAAAAGAGAUUCAUUGGUAAGGAAAAGUAUGUUUUAGAAACUUGAUGACGACAACGAAGAGCACAAAAAGCGAGGAAAAGCGCAAUUGAUGCACUGCACCUACCACACCGGUAUUGCUUACAUUUGUACUAUUCUAUUUUAAUUCUACAUCUUAUGCCUGAAUCUGUUAUGAUAUUCUCCUAUUAGAUUAAAAUUGUCUAUAUUUAAAUACCACAAUCUUCAUCUAAUCUCAAUUAAAUAUCACUCUUCAUAUAGGAAUUAAACUUGUAAUGCAAACAUUAUUUCUAGUUUGACUUAUCCUCAAUCUCAAUGCACUAUACAGGCUUUUGCUAUGAAUUAAAACUAAACUAAAAACUCUAAAUAUGAACUGUUCAAGAUUGCAUAUCAGCUAAAUUUUAACAGUAUAGUCUUUGUGCUACUUUAUUUCAUAAACAUUCAAUGAUCAGCUAAACCCACAUGGAGAGCUCAAGAAAAUCUUUUAAUAUACACAAGUAAGUUUUCUUCAACUUUAUUUUUCCUAACUCUCAAUAUAAGCUAGUAUCUAGUACUACCCAAUUUUACGAUGUCAGGAAAUCAGACGGGUAGUAUAAUUAGAGUUUAUGUUUGAUUUUUUACGAGUAACUUGGAGUGGAAAAUGUGAAAAAAAAAGUUGUUUGUAGCUUUUGGAAUUUCUAAAAAUAAUUGAAAAGUAUGAAAACAAAAUUUUCCGGAAUUUUAUGGCCAAACGUGUUUACCGGAGUUGAACUCCGAAAAAAAAGUGAAAAUUUUUCAUGGCCAAACACCCUCUUAGUUAAUCACACUAAAUUCGUAUCGAAACACUCCAUGAAAUGAGUUUGGGAAUUUAGCCAUGAAAAUUUUUCAUUUUUUCAACUCUGGAAAACACGUUUGGUUAUAAAAUUUUAGAAAAUUUUGUUUUUCACUUUCUUCGAUAAUUUUCAGAAAUUCCAAAAACAACGAAGAGCUAUUUUCACUUUUUUCACUCCAAAUUACUCACAAAAAUACAAUAAAAAAUUCUAAUCUAUUUCAUGGCCAAACAUAACUCCAGUUUCCAAAUAUCAAUUUUCAUAACUAAAUAUGGCCAAAUGCCUAGUUAAAUUAAUUUCAAACCUCAAAAGUUCACAAAUUCAAAUCAAACCGAUGUUAUGUACUGAAGAAAAACAUUGCCAGAAAUGCAGAAAAUAUAAACUAACCAAUUGAAAAAGAGGUGUACAAGCCACGACCAACAAACAAAAUCAAGGAAGCAAGGAAUGAACACAUGACAAUACUCGCCAUAAUUGGGUAGCAAGUUACAUUUCCUCUCUUCAAUGCUAUUUCCUGCUUAACACACUGUAACGCCCCAAGAACCUAUCCCGAGAUGUCACACCGUACUUAAGGCCACACGUGGCAUCAAGCUAACCCUCUAAGCCUGUCAUCCCUUUUUAAACUCACUUUGACGAUAGUCAUGGCAAAAUAAGAAAGGAUAUCAUAUCAUGGACAUACUCGAAAGUAAAGAUAUGCUGGCCUGUACAAUCAAAAUACUGACAUUCUGUACAUACAGAUACUCUAGUUUGACAAAGCCUCUACUAAUCAAGACUAAAGAGACAUUGGGACAAAUCCCCAACUAACUUAGACAGUAUUGAAAGCCAUAACAACAGAAUGAUAUCAUCAAAAAUAUAGAUACGGUCCUCAAACCAUGAGGACUCACCACUGAGGAAACGUAGUUGAGGUAGUCAAAUAUCGCUAACGCGGCUGCGACUGAGUACCUGAACCUACAUUACGAGAAAAUGUAGCCUAUAGGAAAAUAUGUGGGUCAGCACUUUGGAAUGCACUGAGUAUGUGGGGGUGCAUGCAACAAUGUAAAUAUCAUCAUCAAUUUCAUGAAAAUAUGCAUAUGUACAAUGAUGGCUCACUUGGCUUGAGUUAGAUUGAAACAUAAUUUUCAUGAUCUCAUAGUAAAUAAAUCAUAUGAUAAAAACCUCAUAAAUCAUCAUAAACAACUCAACUCUUCAACUCAAGACUUGGAGUGACUCGGUAAUUCAAAAAACUCAACUCUUAUGGACAUGGGAGGUUCUUAUAACCGACAUAAAUCAUGUGAGCUAGAUGGAGUCCAAUGUUUUACCCUCCUAAAGGAGAUAACCUCACAUUGGCGGAAGCAUUGUACUCUUGCCAAGGAGUACAACCUCAAUUUAGUGAUUAGAAUCUCAUACUCGGCCUGUGGCUCGAAAUUAUCAAUACCAAUCCUACGGUGGCAUGUAGUUUCGAGGAAAAUACCACAUUUAUCGCUCGGUGCUAAAUACUAAUCCCAGACACAAGCUCAGAACGCAUUAGGAAAUCCAACACAAACAUCACAAGGGUCUAUCAUGAAGAUCAAAUCAAAUCUCUUUCUCAUUUAUCAAAUCAUAAUCAAUUUGUGGAUUCCUAACUCGACUCAAAUCAAAUCAAUCUUUCUCAAUAUAAAAAUGUAUCAAUUCAUUAAAUCAUGACAACAUCAUUAACUUUGAGGAAAUAUCAAGACUCGUUGUAACAACUCAAUCUCAUGAAUCAAUAUUCUCAAUAAUCCAAUUUCUCAUAAGGAAGAUUAAAGCUUGAUACAUAUCUUGAAAGCACUUGAAAUAUCAACUCAUGGUAGAAAUAUGAAAUUCACAGUAUUAAAUAUCAAGUCAUAACUUGGGAAUAGUAAAAUAAUCAUGUAUAACAAAGCUUGAACAAUUUAUAUUCUCAUAAUCUCAUGAUGAAGUAAUUUGGAUAUAAACCCACUUGCAAAAUCAUAUAAAUCCAUGAUAGAAAUCAAAGCUUUGGGCACAAGAACGAAAGAAUUUCUCUUGUUCAAAACCCCACAUACCUUGGAUUAUAACUUUAAGAUGAAAAGACUUGAUUGGAAACUCUUCUUCACACUUUUGAGCUAAGUUUCUUGAUGCCUUUGACUUGGAGAACUUGAUUCUUGAACAACUUGGUGAAAUCUAUGAAAAAAUUCUUGAAUUUCUUGGAGAAGAUUUGAUUUGAAUUUGGAAGACAGAAACCCUAGUUCUAGAUAUUUCUUGGAUGAGAAAUGGAGAAGAAUGGAUUUCUCUUCUCUACUUGAAUCUAUAUAUAGAGGGCUAAACUGGGCGGAAAAACCAAAAUGCCCUUGAGAAAAUUCUAAAACUGGAGCCCGAUUUUUGGCCUUGGAGCAGCACUCCAUGAUCGCAGUCCUUCACUGGAUUUUGGACAACUGGGAAAUUGCUUAGUGGCGCAUUACGGUGAAAUCGCGUUGCCACCUUGGUUAUGACUUAGAAGGGCACUACGACGCGGUGGAAUCGCGUUGGUGCACUGGAAUUUGAAAAUCCUGAUAUUGAGCCUUGGCGCGAUGCGGUAAUAUCACAGAGGUUCACUGGAAAGUGACAAUUGGGAUAUUACUCAUCUCCGCGAUGCGCUGAGGGUCUAAAUAAUGAUGUUUCACGAUUGAGACUUCAGAUAGUCAUAACUUCUUGCUCCGAUCUUCGAUUUUGACAAAAUUGGUAUCGGCGAAAAGCUUAUUCAAAUCUCCACAUGAUAGAAAUUAGGGAAAUACAACACAGUUUAAGCAUCAUUCACUUUGGAAGUCUUUCCCAUUCGCUCAAAAGACAAAUUUAGGCUUACAAAAAGGUCGGGGUAUUAUAAUAUCUCACCCUUGGAAAUAUUCAUCCUCGAAUGUUUCUAGUUAGACUCAAGGUCAAAGAGGACACUUGAAAAUUCCCUACUAAAAUAAUCUAUUCAACAGGAUUACUUUACUCUAGACUUUCAUAUACUUCACUGAAUGCACGAAUCAAGAUGGAAGACAAUUAUAUAACCGAAUACACUGGAUUAGGAGGAAACUAAAUUAAGGAUAAAUAAUACCUUCAGCUUGAUUUGAACUUGCAGAGAAGAGAUGGGGGUACUUAACUCGCAUAUCUGUUUCUGCUUACUAAGUGGCACCCUCAACUGAUUGAUUUUGCCACAGAACUUUAACCAAAGGAACUUCCUUAUUUCUUAGUCUACGGACUUGAUAAUCUAUGAUUUCAACCAGAAUCUUUUCAUAAGAAAGGCUAUCCCGAAUGUCUAAGAUCUCCAAUGGAUGAACAACAACAGCAGAAUCGCCAAUGUGCUUCUUAAGCAUAGAAAUAUAAAAGAUAGGGUGGACAGCUGAAAACUCCGUAGGCAACUCAAUCUCAUAAGUUGCUUUCCCAACAUGAUUCAAAACUAUGUAAGGGCCGACAUAUCAGGGACUAAGAUUUCCUUUCUUACCAAAUCUCUUCACCCCUUUCAUGGGUGAAAUUUUCAGGUACACUAAAUCAUCAACUUCAAACUCAAGAGCUCUUCUUAUCACAUCUGCAUAUGACUUUUGAUGACUCUGGGCUGUCUUCAACUUUUCUCAAAUCAAUUUAAAUUUCUCCAUAGCUUCAAAUACAGCAUCAGAUCCAAUCACAACAGCUUCACCUACUUCAAACCAACCUAUGGGUGAUCUACACCUCCUUCCAUAUAAAGCCUCAAAUAGAGCCAUUCUAAUACUAGCAUGAAAACUAUUGUUAUAAGCAAAUUCAAUCAAAGGAAAAUGUUUAUCCCAACUUCCUUUGAAAUAAAGAACACAUGCCCUCAACAUAUCCUUCAAAGUCUGGAUGGUCUUCUCAGCCUGACCUUCCAUCUACGGAUGAAAAGCGGAACUAAGAUGAACUUGGGUGCCAAGACCCUUCUGAAAGGCUCCCCAAAACUGAUAAGUUAAUUGAGUACCUCUAUCAGAGAUGAUGGACAACGGAACUCUAUGCAACCUGACUAACUCUCAGAUGUAUAGCUUGGCAUAGUCCUCAGCGGUGAAAGAUGUAUGCACUAGCAAGAAAUGCAUGGACUUAGUCAACCUAUCUACAAUGACCCAAAUCGAAUCACGAUGAUAAUGAGAGAGAGGUAAAACAGUCAUGAAAUCUAUGUUUACCUCUUCCCACUUCUAAGUAGGGAUGCUAAAUUCUUACAUCAUACUACCGGGUCUCUGGUUCUCUAUCUUCACCUGUUGGAAAGUUGCACACUUCUCUAUGAACUUCUCUAUAUCCUUCUUCAUACCAUUCCACCAAUAGAUUUCUCAUAAAUCACAGUACAUCCUGGUAGCAUCGGGAUGAAUAGAAUACCGCACGCCAUGUGCUUCAGCCAUAAUUCUAUCUUAAAUAAUCAAUGUCAGGCACACACAACCUAUUCUAAAGCCUCAAUACACCAUCUCCCCUUUGGGAGAAAACCUCUACCUUUUGUCCUUUAACUGACCCUUUCAGUUUGACCAAAUGAUAAUCUAUAUCUUGCUUCUCUUUCACCUCCAAAACUAGAGAAGAUUAGGAACUACUCUGGACCCAAAAAUUACCCUCACCUGAAUCAAGCAAUCUAACACCCAAACUUGAUAAAUAAUGUACUUCGCGAACUAACUCCUUCUUACCUUUCUUUACAAGUGCUACACUACCCAUGGAUGACCUGCUAAGGGUAUUCGCUACUACAUUGGCCUUGACCGAGUGGUACAACACACUUAUAUCAUAGUGCUUCAGCAAUUCUAACCAUCGUCUCAGUCAAAGAUUCAACUCUCUUUGAGUAAAAAUAUACUGCAAACUCUUAUGAUCCGUAAAGACAUCAACCGUGCAAAAACAGAGAUCAAAAAUGCUUGAGUCCUGGGUUUUGUCUUAUUAGCGUCUAGGCCGAUGAACACCGUACAAGUAGUUUCUCUAAAUUUUUAAAGCAAAAACCACUGCAGCUAAUUCAAGAUCAUGGGUCGGGUAAUUGUUCUGAUGCGGUUUCAACUGCCUGGAGGCAUAGGCUAUAACCUUACCUUUUUGCAUCAAUAUGCAACCCAAACCAACUCUAGAGGCAUCACAAUACACUAUAAAAUCAUCUAUACUAUUAGGAAGGGUCAACACAGGGGCUGAAGUGAGUCAAGUCUUCAACUCCUAAAAACUCUUCUCGCCAAAAUCUAGCCACUGGAAUUUAACUUUCUUUUAGGUUAACAGAGUCAAAGGAGACACAAUAGAAGAAAAGCCUUCAACAAAACGAUGGUAGUAGCCAUAUAGACCCAAGAAACUCCUAAUAUCAGAUGGGGAAAUAGGUCUAGGCCAAUUUGUCGCAACUUUUACAUUUUGAGGAUCAACUUGAAUACCUUCAGAAGAAAUAAUAUGACCCAGAAAGGCAACUGACCUUAGCCAAAAUUCACACUUGCUAAACUUGGCAAAUAACUGAUGACCUCUAAGGGUUUCCAAGAUAAUUUGAAGAUGAUCUGUAUAGUCAUUCUUACUUUGGGAGUACACAAGAAUAUCAUCUAUGAACACAAUAAUAAACAUAUCCAAGUACUGUCUGAACACCCGAUUCAUGAGGUCCAUAAAAGCUGCUGGGGCAUUAGUUAGCCUUAAAGACAUAACCAAGAACUCAAAAUGACCAUAACGGGUGCAUAAAACCAUCUUUGGAAUAUCAUACUCUCUAACCUUAAGUUGGUGGUAACUGGAUCUCAAAUUUAUUUUUGAGAAAUAACUAGCACCUUGCAGCUGAUCAAACAGGUCAUCAAUUCUAGAAAGAGGAUAUUUGUUUUUGACUGUGACCUUGUUGAGCUGACGAUAGUCAAUGGACAUACGCAAUGAACUAUCUUUCUUUCGCACAAACAAAAUGGGUAUGCCCUAAGGAGACACAUUGGGCCUUAUGAAACCUUUAUCAAGAAGAUCUUUGAGUUCUCUUUCAACUUCUUAAGUUUUACAGAGGCCAUACGAUAUGGAGGAAUAAAAAUAGGCUGUGUGUCGGGAAGAAGAUCUAUUCUAAAUUCUAUCUCUCUAUCGGGAGGUACCCUUGGGAGAUCUUCUAGGAAAAUAUCAAGAAACUCAUUAACAACAUUGAUGGGCUGAAUCGUCGGAGUCUCAGACUUUAUGUCUUUAACUCGAACCAAAUGAUAGAUGAAACCCUUGGAUAUCAAUUUUCUGGCUUUAAGGUAAGAUAUGAAAUAAGUCUUAGGAGAUACUGAAUUUCUGGACCACUCAAAGAUUGGCUCAUUGGGAAACUAAAACUUGACUACACGGUAGGACAGUCUAUGGACACAUAACCAGAGAGAAGCCAAUCCAUACCCAGAAUAAUGUCAAAAUCGACCAUGUCUAGUUCAAUCAGGUCUUUAAGCAAGACUCUAUGAAAGACAGUGAUAGGACACUUCUUAUACACUUGUUUAGCAAUAACAGAUUCACCUAUUAGGGUAGAAACUAGGAUAGGCUCAGGAAUUUUUUUAGCACUGAUCUCAAAAUUCACAACCACCAAUGGAGUCAUAUAAGAAAAGCUUGACCUGGGGUCCAUCAACACAUACACAUCAAAAUGAAAGACACGGAGCAUACUAGUGAUAAUAUCUGGAGAGUCCUCCUGCUCCUGGUGAGGUGGUAUAGCAUAGAAGUAAUUCUGGCGUGAACCGCCAGCAGUACUAGAAGAGGCACCUUGAGAAGGAAUUAGGCGGACUACGGGAGUGGGCGCACUGGUAGCCUGACUCUAGGGACGAGCAUCUCAACUCCCCUGUCUAGCAUACGGACAAUCUAUAAGUCGGUGGCCCAACUUGCCACAACCAAAGCAACCCCUCUGAUCAAUAAAACACUGGCCAAAAUGAUCUCUAACACACUUGGCACAUGUAGAAGGAUGAGAUUGGUUACAUAUACUUUCCUGAGACUUGGAUGGUAUAGGCCUGUUCCCCUGUUCCUUUCUGUUUCUAGGUGCGGGACCACUAACUAAGGACGGCACGGGCAUAAAUGGAUGUCCCUAGAAUUGAGGGCAGUUCCCUCCAUGGAAUCUGGACUAACCAAAUCCCUGCUGCUCUGAUCUAGCUCUUUUAUUCCCUCUUAUUCUCUCCCCCUCUUUCACCUUAUCAGCUUUAAUCUAUUGGGCAUGUAUCAUCAAUCCAAAAAGGUCCAUCUCCCUAUUAAGCAUAACAGAUCUAUACUCUUUCAUAACAUAACUCGACACAUCGGUCAUGAACUUACUUAUGAUGGUCCUUGAGUUAGCCAUCAUACUAGGAGCAUAUUUGGAUAACUGAUUGAAUCUAAGACAAUACUCCUUAACAGUCAUGGAGCAUUGUCUUAAAUUCAUGAAUUCCUUUAUCUUUACUUCCCUUAUCUCAAGAGGAAAGAAUCUAUCCAAGAACAAAUCCUGGAAUAACUACCAAGUCAUGGGAGUGACAUCCUCCUUCUACUCUUCCCCCAUAUCUCCACCCAGUCAUAUGCAACAUCUUUUAUUUGAUAGAAAGCCAAUUUAACACUCUUCUCCUUAGUCACGUGCAUAAUCUGGGUGAUUUUUCUCACUUUAUCCAAGUACAUCUGUGGGUCUUCACCUACCUUCGACCCAUAGAACUCAGGCAGAUUCAUCUGCUUAAAGUCACAAAGUCAAGAUUCAGCAGAAUUAUUCUCUUGUGGAGGUGGAAUAGUAGCCUGGGUGUUAGCUUGAGAAUUGGUGGUAACUACCUGGGCUAGCGCCUGAAAAGCUGCCCAAAAUUUUGCAUGAGACAUAUGCUCGUUUAAGGGAUCAACGGGUUGAGGUUGCUCAUUAUUUCUACGAGCUCGAUGAAGAGGCAUUUUCUGUUAUAAGAGAGCACGAGUUAAUCGCAGAUAAAGAGACAGUUGUAGGCAUGAUAAACUUUAGAAAGAAAUGAAUUUUCCUAAAAUGUUUCAUAGCCUCUUGCUCAUAGAUGUGGUACGCUACACACCGAUGAUCAAGACUCUACGUAAUGCAUCUUGUCAGACUCUCUAGGACUCUUUAAACCUUAGGCUCUGAUACUAAGCUUGUAAUGCCCCAAGAACCUAUUCUGAGAUGUCACACGGUACUUAAGGCCGCAUGUGGCCUCAAGUUAACCCUCUAGGACUGUCAUCCCUUUUUGAACUCACUUUGACGGUAGUCAUGGAAAAAUAAGAAAGGAUAUCAUUUCAUGGACAUACUCAAAAGCAAAGAUAUGCUGUCCUGUACAAUUAAAAUACUGACAUUCUGUACAUAUUGAUACUCUAGUCUGACAAAGCCUCUACUAAUAAAGACUAAAGAGCCAUUGGGACAAACCCCCAACUAACUCAGACAGUACUAAAAGCCAUAACAACAGAACAAUAUCACCAAAAAUAUAGACAUGGUCCUCGAACCAUGAGGACUCACCACUGAGGAAACGUAGUUGAGGUACUCAAAUAUCGCUAACACAGCUGCGGCUGAGUACCUGAACCUACAUUAUGAGAAAAUAUAGCCCAUAGAAAAAUUUUUGGGUCAACUCUUUGGAAUGUACUGAGUAUGUGGGGGCGCAUGCAACAAUGUAAAUAUCAUCAUCAAUUUCAUGAAAAUAUGCAUAUGUACAAUGAUGGCUCACUUGGCUUGAGUUAGAUUGAAACAUACGUUGCAUGAUCUCAUAGUAAAUAAAUCAUAUGAUAAAAACCUCAUAAAUCAUCAUAAACAACUCAACUCUUUAACUCAAGACACGGAGUGACUCGUAAUUCAAGAAACUUAACUCUUAUGGACAUGGGAGGUUCUUAUAACCAACAUAAACCAUGUGAGCUACAUGGAAUCCAACAUUUUUCCCUCCUAUGGAGAGAUCCCCACAUUGGCAGGAGCAUCAUACUCUUGCCAGGGAGUACAACCUAAAUUUAGUGAUCAUAAUCUCAUACUCAGACUCUGGACCACAAUUAUCAAUAUCAAUCCUACGGUGACACAUAGUUUUGGGGAAAAUACCACAUUUCCCACCGGUGCUAAAUACUACUGCUAGACACAAGCUCAAAACGCGUUAGGAAUCCACCACAAACAUCACAAGGGUCUAUCAUGAAGACCAAAUCAAAUCGCUUUCUCAUUUAUCAAAUCACAAUCAAUUUAUGGAUUUCUAACUUGGCUUAAAUCAAAUUAAUAUUUCUCAAUAUCAAAAUGUGUCAAUUCAUUAAAUCAUGACAACAUCAAUAACUUUGAGGAAAUAUCAAGACUCAUUGUAACAACUAAAUCUCAUGAAUUAAUAUACUCAAUAAUCUAGUUUGUCAUAAGGAAUCUUAAAGCUUGACAAAUAUCUUGACAGUACUUGAAAUAUCAACUCAUGGUAGAAAUAUGAAAUUCACAAUAUUAAAUGUCAAGUAAUACCUUGGGAAUAGUAAAAUAAUCAUGUAUAACAAAGCUUGAAGAAUUUAUAUUCUCAUAGUCUCAUGCUGAAGUAAUUUGGGUAUAAACCUACUUGCAAAAUUAUAUAAAUCCAUGAUAGGAAUCAAAGCUUUGGGCAUAAGAACGAAAGCAUUGCUCUUGUUCAAAAUCCCACAUACCUUGGAUUAUAACUUUAAGAUGAAAAGAAUUGAUUGGAAACUCUUCUUUAAACUUUUGAGCUAAGUUUCUUGAUGCCUUUGACUUGGAGAACUUGAUUCUUCAAAAACUUGGUGAAAUCUAUGAAAAAAUUCUUGAAUUUCUUGAAGAAGAUUUGAUUUGGAUUUGGAAGAGAGAAACCAUAGUUCUAGAUAUUUCUUGGAAGAGAAAUGGAGAAGAAUGGAUUUCUCUUCUCUACUUGAAUCUAUAUAUUGAGGGCCAAACUGGGCGGAAAGACCAAAAUGCCCUUGAGUAAAUUCUAAUACUGUAGCCCGAUUUUUGGCCUUGGAGCGGCACUCCAUGAUCGCAAUCCUUCACUGGAUUUUGGUAAACUGAGAAUUUGCUUUGUAGGGCGAUGCAGUGAAAUCGUGUUGCCCCUUGGUUAUGACCUGAAAGGGCACCGCGACACGGUGGAAUCACGUUGGUGCACUAGAAUUUGACAAUCCUGAUAUUGAGCCUUGGCGCGAUGCGGUAAUAUCAUGGAGGCUAACUGAAAAGUGAUAAUUGGGAUAUUACUCAUCUCCGCGACAUGCUGAGGGUCUAAAUAGCAAAGUUUCCCAACUGGGACUUCAGAUAGUCAUAACUUCUUGCUCCGAUCUUCGAUUUUGAUGAAAUUGGUAUCGACGGAAAGCUUAUUCAAAUAUCCACAUGAUAGAAAGUAGAAAUUAGGGGAAUAAAACAUGGUUUAAACAACAUUCACUUUGUAAGUCUUUUCCAUUUGCUCAAAAGACGAAUUUAGGCUUACGAAAUGGUCGGGGUAUUACAUACCUUUACAAAGAAAUUUGGUUAAAAAUAGGUGAAAAUCACCCAAAUCCCCUAAGCCCUUCCCAAAAUGAUUUUAUAAAUAAUAAACCAUUUUUGGGUACUUUUCUGCAUAAAUCUACAUAUAUCCUGCUAUUUUAACCUUGCUAUAUUAGAAUUCACUACUAUGGUAAAACUAAUCUAUGUUGACUGCCGCUAUAGUGAGAAACUUUACGAAAUAUCAACAUUAUCAUAGCAACCUGCCACCUGCUAUAGCAGGUGUGGUGAGGCAAAAGCUCUAGAUUGCUCUUAAUUUUUCCUUUUCCUCAAUCCACCCCCGAACUGUGACAUUCCGGACUAACUCCUUUAUAUUUGAUUUGAUAUCGGGAGUUCUACUUACCCGAAUUCACUUUCAAAAACUCCUACGAAUUCUUUAUCUUCUUACCUAACAUAAAAAUAAGCUAAAUCUUUUCACAUUUACUAAAUUUGUAUUCAUAUUUUCCUAGACUAUGCCUUACUCGGAUUUCAUCCAAGGCUAGCCUAGCCUAAUAUUUUUAACUCCCAACACGGUGAAAAACUUAUCCCAAAUUUUGUAUGCCAGACUCACCUGUAACUACGAAAAGUGUUGUUACAAUAGACUUAUAGAUUGCUUGGAUUAAUUAUCGAAUUGAAUUAUGUUGUUAUUUCAAAUACCAUAUAUUUCUAUUUUUACUUAUAUUUUAAUGUAUUAUAUCCUUAAAUUUAUUUAUUGAAAAAGACAAAAUUUUUCAUUUUGUGUGAUGAGCGACUUGGUGUCACCCCAUCAUUACCUUAUUUGUUUUUUCAUAUAUCUUCAUUUUCCUAUUUAAAUAAUGAUCGAUUUCAUAUGGAACAUGAAUAUAUGUGAUUUAUCAAAAUGUCAGCUUAGGAUAUUUUGUUAUCUUAUGUAUAAAAUAUGAUUUGUUUGUUUAGUAAGAUUAUAUAAGAAUUGAGAAAAUUUUGAUAGUUUUCACAAUUUAUUAAAUUCUCAUGUUUAAAAAAAAUAUACAACUUUAAGAAAUCCAAAUUGCAUUUCCAUACAAACUUCAACUUCAUAUCAUUUUAUUUGAAGGAAUCCAUCUAUAAAUACCUAAUGUUAGCAUGACACUUUACUUAAAAAACACAACUAAUUCUUGUACCAUUUAAACAUCUAAAGUAAGUUCAAUUUUUGUCAUUUUGACACUUUCACUUGGAUUGUUAUCUGAUUUUUCACCUCAAAUAUGCAUGUGAAGAGCCUAAAAAUAGAUUUGUUGUGUUCUUAUUCUUUUUAUUUCCUUCUUCUUCUUUAUUUUUUUCUCUUUCUUCUUUACUUAAUAUUCUAUCAUUAACAAUAUUUCACCAUUGUUAUUUUAUCUACCGAAGUAAAUGGAAACCAUCUCUAUUUACUAAAAAUAUGUGACAUUUUUUUUGUAAAAUAUUAAUCAAAAGAUGAAUUUUAAGUUCGUAAAAUAAAUUAGCCAGAAAAGAAUAUCACCCUACCCUUAUUCUUCUUUUCUUUAUUUUUUCUUUACCAUUAUGUCUGUCACUACACACCACUAAUCCGUGUUGCUAUUUUUAUUACUAAUGAUACCACUAAAACUUUAAUAAUUAACUUUUAAAAAAAAUUAACUCACUUACAAAUUAUAUAGAAAAACCAUGAAAGAUCUAAAUGCAUGCACAAAGUCAGAGAGAUGCAACAUAAUCUUACAACACUUGACACAAAAAGAGCACUUGCCAAUUCUUUAUGUCAAAGAUACAAUUCAGCUUAAACAACCUUUUUUCAUUCAUAUGAACCAAUGACAUUUAGAGAUUCGAAAUAGCCAGCUAUGUGAAAUUGGACCAUGAGUGUUAACAAAAUAAGGAGGGGUGCCUAUUUUCCAAAAUCCACAAAUAAACAAGGAAUUAGCCAAUGCUUUCUAUAGUCUAAUCGAGUAACACACAAAAACAAAACCUAAGCAUGCUGAUUCUCCUAGAUAACAACCGAGGGAAAAGAAAAAUGGUGAUAAAAACUCGUGAAUGUUGGCAGAUCCAUAGGUACUCCACCCCGACCAAAGAAACAUACAUUAACCGUAAUGCUUCCAAUCAAUAAAUAAGAACUAGGAGAAAGGAAUACCUAUGAACCUUUAAGAUUUAAUGUCUAGCAAGUCUGUGGAGGCCAUAGUAGCCUCAAUAUCUACAAUAGUGACCCCAGUGUCAACUGGAGUACUCAAACCAUCCACAACCUUCUCGAUCACCAGAGUGACAAUAGGCAACAUCAAUAGUGUGAACCCAACUCUAGCUAUCAAGAUAGAAGAAAAUCCCAUUAUCCAGUAUUGUUCACUCUUCUGCAACAAUUUCUCAUCUUUCCUGGAGGCUUUCAUAGCCUUCUAUAAUUCUCUCUUCUUAGGUGUCUCAUCCUAAUAGUUUUUUCUCUUAGAUUUUCUCUUUCCUUUACCUUUACUUGGUGCCUUGUCCUUACCACAUUAAAUUAAGUAUUUAGUUAUCAUUAUCUGAUUCAUAAUUGAGCGAUUAGGAAAUCUAGUAAUGGGGGCCUUUUUCAAUGUGGCAAUGUUAUCUUGAGCCUUUUUAAAUUCGGUGGUGAACUUGGACACAUUUAGAAUUGAGAAUUCUAUUAGCAUGUGAUUCACCCUCUAAUGCACAUCAUCUAUAUGGGAAUGUAGAUUAGCAUAUGACUUCUAAGUCUCUGCAACAACUACAUCCAUAAGUGGAUUUAACUACUUAGCCUAAGUAUCCAACUACUUUUCAAAUUACUUUUACUUCUUGACCACCACUCAUAAAAUUUUUAGGUUGUGAAUUGAUAUUUAUAAUAAUCAUAUGGUAUGGAGGCAGAGUAUGUAGUCUCAACAAUGAGGGAUAUAACAACUGUCUCAGAUACAACAGAAGCAUACUAUGAGAGUACCAGAUGCCUCUAGAGUGGUUUGAGACUGAGGUCCAAAUUAUGGCAGCUUAUAAACCAUUAACUCAAACUUUGUCUUAUCUCUGGUCUUGUCAAUGUCUUACUUAUUUAUGGAUCAUACUUCAUUAUCCACUCUACUGAUGUUUGACACUUUUGCCUGUAUACAUCGCUCUAUGAUUAUACAAAGGAAUGGCAAUGAAUUUGCAAUCUUGACAGCCUAUACAAAUAGCUUAUGACUAAUAAAUUAGCCAAAGUUGAUUUUUAGUCAUUCCACCAAACAUAUAGUUAUUAUAGCACAUUGCUCAUCUAGGUUGGUAUCACUAGCUAUAGGCAUCAAUCAUAACCUAAUCACAACCUACUGGAACUUUUUUAUGAAACUCAGGGAUGAUUUGGCUAACUAUUCUUUACUUUUUAACCAUAAGGGAUCUCUACUCUCUAUCAAUAUCUGAGCCAUCUAUGGAUGCUGAGUAGAAAGUUAAUCAAACUCUUGGGGUGAUAGCUGGCGGUGCCUAAAAUUUCCCCUAUGAAAUAUGAUUGAUUGUACGCUCAGAGGUGUCCAUAAAAACCCCACGAAUCAUAACUCUCUCACCAAAUUUUCCAUGUCACUAACCUUUUUACCGUUUGGGAAAUCCUUCUUGAGCAUGGCCAAGUAGUUUGUAUAACAUUCAUGGAUGAUGGUAGGGUAAUAAGUCUCAAGUGGUAUACUCAGAAGGCCUAACUCAUACUCAUUGAAUUGUCGUUCAAUGUCUAGAUACUCUAGCAGGUCAGUUGUUACUAUAUGAUAUUCCUUAGAAAAUGACCUCUUCAUGCUUCUUGACUUGGUUGGUUCAAUUCCAUCAAAGUAAUGUAUUUUUGCCCCAUCAACCUGCCACCUAAUGUACUUUUGCACCCCAGGAUUUUUUCUUUGAAUUACGUCUCUAUUUUUUGUUCAAGUUCCUUUUUUGGACUAUUAGCAACUUCAGUUUAAUCCUUUUCAUAUGGGUUAGUGCUAGAACUAUUACUGCUCUCCCCAUCACUACUUUAUUUCUCACUUGACAACCCAUCUUUCUCUUUAGAUUGGGAGUUUUGAGUGUGUUUGCUAUCACUUUGCCUAGUGUUGUAGGCUAGUGCCUCUAUAUCCUCAAACUCAUUAUCUAGUUCAUAUCUAAGUCUCGAGGGUUAGGUAUAUCUUUCUUUCCUUUUCCUUGCUCUACCUUUUGUUGUUUGAAGAUUUUAAGGCAUGUUACCAAUAAAGAGAAACAAUUAAACAUUGCACAAAACAAAAAGCAUCAAUUAAUAUUGCACUAUAAUAACAUUGCAUCUUUUUGAUGAUUAGGGGUAACGAUUCGUCACAUAGGUGAUGACUCGCCAACCUUUUUUGUUAGUUCUUUCUAUAUUAUUAACCAUAUAUUAAGGAUGACCUUGACAAGUUGUCAUAAGUCUGAUGGUUUGUUAGAUGAACCAUUAGACAAAAAUAAAAUACUACAUAACUUUCUCUCUUUUGGUGGUUUAGCUUGGUGAUCCAUCACCUUUGUGAUAGUUCAUCACCUGAGUCGUCAAUAUUUUCCAACAAAUUAUUUAUUCAAUUGGAGUUUUAUCAAAUGUAUGAUGCACAUAUAAGAUCCAUAAAAUUUUAACAAUUUUUUUUGACCUCAUCGCGUGCAUAAUGUUAAUUUUUGACUUGAAUUAUGAUUUGGGAUGUUAAAAGGGUGUUUUGGGAAAAUUUUGAAUUUUUAAAAGGAGUUCAGGGUUAUUUUGAGAUGUCGAGGCAAUAAAACUCUAUGAUAGUAGUAUGCCACAGAAGGUUAACCUUUGUAAUAAGGGCGUGGCAUGGAGGCUAACCUCCGCAAUAAGGAUGUACCUCGCUCCUAUGUUAAAUUCAUUUAGUUUUUAUUUUUUUCACUUGGGGUGAGGGCCUUUUAGUAUUUUUACCACUUGUUCAACUUAUAAACAUAAAAUAACCCUCUUCCCUUCAGUUUUAAAAGAUCAAAAUCCUUUGUUUUCCUCUUUAACUGAAAACCCAAGAACAUUCAAGGGUUUUACAAGAAAUCACUACUCUUGGCUCCAAACUUCAAUUUUUAUUCAAAUUCUUUAGUAUUUCAAGUAUGUUUCUCAUUCCUUAACUUUAAUUUUACAUUGUGUCAUUAAUUUGUAAUAUGCAUAUGACUUAAAUUGAUGGUUUUAAAAUUGGGUUAAGGGCUUUUGGUUGUUUUUACAUGAAGUACUUGUCCCAUGUUUUAAAUGAAUUAUUUAUGUUUUAAUUGAUGAUUUUAGGAAUGAAUUGGUGCAUCGCUGAUGGUAGGAAUGGGGGACAUGAAUUUCCCCAAUUUGACAAAAGUUUGGCUUGAUAAUGACAUUAACCUCAACCCACUUUGUAAUCUUGAUUUUGAACAUGAAUAAUUGCAUAAUUUAACUUGUCUUUUGUAGUCACUUCAUUGUAUUAAAGGAUAAAUGGAUAAAUAUGGUUUUGGAAAGCCUUGAUGGCCAUGGUUUUGGAUUUUGAAUGGAGAUUGGGAGUCAAACAAUUAUGUGGAUUGGUUUGGCAUAAUUGAAUUAGCUUGCAAAUAUAUUAAUAUGGUGAUAACAAGUUGGUAAAUGCCUUAAUGAAGGACUCCUGGGUUACUGGUUAGCUUAUGUGAAAACUAUUUUAAUUUGGUCUUAAAGAAAAUUAUGUAGCUCACCGUAAAGGUGUAGGUCCCGAGGGGAUCAAAACUGGAAACAACCUUUGUCGGCAUUGGGGGUCUAUAUGACCGUAUUCUUGGUGCACACAUUAUGUAUGCAUAUAUAUAUAUGGGAGGGAUAUAAACUUGGUGCCUUUAUCCCUUUCCUUGAUUUUCCUCGAUUCUUACAACUAACACACACUGAUGCCCUUCCAGUAGGGGGAUCUUGUCCCAUAUAUUCCAUGGGUUCCUUUAGGACAGAGCAAGCUACAUAGGUCAGGCUAACAUUUUAAACUCUCACAUUUAUGAAUCUUGUCCCUAUCCCUACAUGCUAUAUACAUAUACACACACACGAAUGUGGUGCAUAUGGUUUACAACUGGAUUUUGGUAAAUACAUUAUUUUAUCCCUAUACCCUGAGUUACAUGCUAGUGCUCGUCCUAUUGACCGUCCUUGAACACUGCAUCAUUUUAUGAUUUGGGUUCGGAGGACUUUUUUAGUGCUCCUGUGUAGUGUUAGGUGGUUGAGUACUUCUGUUGAUUAUCUAUAAAGUGGUGAGCCUUUAUCCAAGGCUUGGCCAUUUCAUUGGUUUCAUUACUAUUUUAGUCUUUCUUUUGGACCCUUUUUGGUAUUUUUGGAUUAGAUGCUUUUGUGGACAGAAGUGGGAUAUUAUUGAUGUCUUGUUUUGACUCUUACAUUUUCUUUUGGUAUCAUUUAUAUAUCAUUUGUUUGGUUGGCUUCCACUGUUUAAUAUUAAUGUGCUCUUGAGGUAAGCCUAAGAGGGUGGUCUCCAGUCCAUGGUAAGCUUGAGAUUACCUGUCAAGGCCAUGCCUGAGUUCAUGCCAUGAUACACACCUUCUACUUUUUAUUUAGAAUUCCGAGUUUCAACUUAUUUUUACAUUUCCAAUCAGACAAGUAUCAAGCUUGUACCCGAGUUACAAAGACCACCCAUUGGUUUCCCAAAACUCAAACUUGAGUACAACACAACCCUUUUUGAGUUUAGGCACAAAUAGUGGUGGCUAUGUUGUCCUUAAUUCAAUAAUCAUAUAAAAUAAAAACGAGUAAAAAAUAUGUACACUAAAUUGAGAUCAAAAUGACUUUGAGCACAUCUAAGAGUUGGAUGAAUAAGAAAAACUCCUGUCAAAGAUCUUAAGCACAACGCUAUGUUUUUGGAAAAAGAAAUAGGUUUUAUGGGAUUUGGAUGGGGUAGAGAUUAGAUUUUGUAGUGGCUUUGUUUGAGAAAUGGAAAUGAAUGAGCAUGGGUGAGGUAACCGUUAUAGGAGUUAUGGUUUUUUUAACAAUGGGAAGUUAUUAUGGUAAGGGAAAGGACUUAAGAUAGCAAUCCGAUCAAUUAACUUGUACUAUAAAAAGGCUUUGGUUAGAAUAGGGUUUUGGUUUUUGUUUAGGUUACUAUUGGGUUAAGGUUUUAUUAUUGUUGGAUUCAAGUUGUUUCGGGUAUGCGUUUGAGUUAUUGAAUUGAAAUUAAAAUGAUAAGUGAACUUACUCGUGACACUUAGGCUGAUGGUCCGUCAAGUAACUGAAGGUUCACUAAGUGCAUCAUCAGGAUUAAGUGGAUUGUAUUACAAGUAAGAUAGCUCUAAUGGUUGGGUUGCUGGUUCAUCAUCAUAGUGAUGGUUCGUUGCAUGAACCAUCAACCCUUAAUCAAAAUGACUCAUUUCUUGACCCUUUGUGUCGGUUUCGUUGAUGGUCCAUCAGAGCUUUGAUGGAUCAUUGAGUGGUCCACCAUACCUUAACCAGAAUGAUUGACUUUCUUAUAUUUUAUGGUAUCUCAUUAUGGUUUGCCAGUUCAGUGAUGGCUCAUCAAAAUGACCCAUCAACCUUAAACAAUAUCCAAUUUAAAUCUUCUUCUCUUAUAAUAACUUAGCCUUCACACUUAGCACACACAUCAACUAUGAUCAUGAUUAACAACCAACAAAAAAAUUAUUCUACAACAACAAAAUAUGGGUUGCCUCUCACUAGAACUUGAUGUAAUGUCAUGAUAUAAGUCGGGUAUGUUGACUACUCAGACGUCGUUAAGAUACAAUAAUGGCAACAUCUUUACUUUUUUAGAUGGGCCAAUAAUUUCUUGAUUCAUUGACCAUUCACUUUAGACAUCUUUCCAUCCUUAUUUUCCAACUGUACUACACCAGAUAGAUACACCCAACCACUUUAAAUGGUAUGGACCAUUUGGAUUUCAACUUUAUGGAAAAUAACUUAAACCCCGAGAUGAACAAUAACACUAAGUCACCCGCUUUGAAAUCUCUCUUGUCAAUCCUCCUGUCAUGGUACAACUUUAUUGUUUCCUUAUAGAGGGCAGCCCUUUCACAAGCACAAAGUUAAAGCUCAUCCAUUUUAUUCAACUGUUACAACCUAAAGUCAGCAACCUCAUUUCAACUCAGAUUAAGCUUUUAGAGUGUACACAAGGCUUUAUGCUCAAGUUCUACCAUCAAAUUACAAGAUUAACGAAAGACUAUUUGGUAAGGAGACAUACCUAUUGGUGUCUUGAAAGUAGUGAAAUAAUCCCUUAGAGCAUCAUCAAGUUUUAGGGACCAAUCACUUUGAUUAGUUUUCACAAUUUUGGCCAAUGUCAUCUUGAUUUAUUGAUUUGAUAUUUUUACUUGUCUACCAGAUUGUGGAUGAUAUGGAGUUUCCACUUUGUAUUGUUUCACUCCAUACCUAGCUAGAUCUACACAAAAAACCUUUUUGCAUAAGUGGGAUCCUCUAUCACUGAUAAUUGUGUGAGGAGUACAACAUUAAAAGAAAAUGUUAAUUUUCAAGAACGUCACCACACUGUUGCCUUUAUUAUCUGCUUCGGCCAUAGAUUCCACCCAUUUGGACACAUUGUCCACUACCACCAGGAUAUACUUCUAACCAUAGGAACUCACAAAUGGACCCAUAAAAUUUUUUUCACACAUGUCAAAUAAUUCCACCUCUAACAUCUCGGACAUGGGAAUUUCCUGAUGUUGCAAGAUUGAUCCCUCUAGCUGGAAUUGAUCAUAAGCUUUGACAAAGUCAUGGGUAUAUUUGUGAAUAGUGCUCUAGUAAUACUCACUCUACAAUAUCUUUCUAGCCAUGGGAUCAUCUGCAUGAUGUCCCCUCUAGGGAUGAGUGACAGGCUUGCAAAAUACUUAGCGUUACAAACUUUGGCAUAUAUCUCCAAAUGAUAUUAUCAACACAUGAUAUAAACAUAUAAGGUUCAUCCCAAAAGUAAUUUCUCACAUCAUGUAUAAAUUUAUUUCUUUGAUGGAAGCUCAAGUCUUUUGGGACCAUGUCACUAACCUAGUAUUUAGCAAAAUCUGCAUAGCAGGGUAUCAGGUAAAGAGAAGUGGAAAGUCUUUGUUCAUUCAUAAAUAAAUAAUCAAUCUAUAAUUUAUUCCCUCAUUCUAAAGUCGAGAUAAAUGAUCUAGUACUUUAUUUUUUGCACCCUUUCCAAUCUUUGACUUCAAAAUCAAAUUCUUAUAGCAGUAAAACCAUUUAAGUAGUUGAGGCUUAGCAUCUUUAUUAGCCACCAAGUUCCAAAAAGCAUCAUGAUCAGUAUGUACUACAACCUUUGUUCCCAACAAAUACACCCAAAAAUUCUCAAAGACUUAGACAAUAACUACUGGAUCCUAUUCAGUAAUUGUAUAAUUCUAUAGCACCCCAUUUAGUGCCUUGCUUGAAUAAUAAACAAGGUGAAAAAUCUUCUCUUUUUUUGCCUACGAACAGAUCCAAGUGCAACCCUAUUUACAUUACACAUCACUUCAAAUAGUUUAGACCAAUCUGAAGCAAUGCUAAAAGGCACAACUAAUAUUAUUUCCUUAAGGCAUUGGAGUUCCUUUAAGCACUCAAUAUUAAAUAUGAACUUAGCUUUUUUUUUUCUAACAGUUUGUACAAUGGAUCGGCAAUAUUGGAGAAUUGUUUAAUAAACAUCAGGUAGAACUCCACAUGAUCGAGAAAACUUCUAACUCUAUUCACCAAGACUAAUGGAGGUAGUUAUUGAAUAAAAUCUAUAUUCACUCUCUCAACUUCAAUUACCUUUUUAGAAAUCUUGGGUCCUAACAUGAUGCCCUCUUUAAUUAUAAAAUGACAUUUUCCCCAAUUGAGCAUAAGAUUGAAUUCCUUACAACUUUGUAAGGCAUUGUUCAAAUUUGUCAAGCAUUUAUCAAAAGAAUCACCUACCAUAGAAAAGUCAUACAUAAACACUUCUAAAGUGUCUUUUCCCAUAUCUGAGAUAAUCCACAUCAUCUUUUGGAAGGUUAACGGAUCAUUACAUAGCCCAAAAUACAUCUGCUUGAAGAAAGAUGUCCUAUAGGGGAAUGUAAAUGUAGUCUUUUCUUGGUCAUUGGGAUUAGUGGAUAUUUGAUUAUGCCCUGAAUAACCAUAUAGGAAAUAUUACCAAACCUUUCCUACCAACUAAUUGAGCAUUUGAUCGAUAAAGGAGAUAGGAAAUGGUCCCAAAGAGUCCAAGAAUGAAGCCUUCUAUAAUCCAUAGAUAUCAUCUAGUCGAUGACAUCUCUAAACAGGAUCAAUUCAUUCUUUUCAUUAACCAAGACAGUCAUACCUCCCAUCUUAGGGACACAUUGAACUGGACUUACCCAUUUAUUAUCUAAUAUUAGGUAAACAACCCCUGCAUCAAGCCACUCAAUUAUCUCUUUCUUUACCACUCUUGUAUUGGUGGGUUAAGUCUGCACUAAUGCUCAAUCAUGGGAAUACAAUAUUAUUCUAACUAAAUUUUAUACACACAAAUGCCAGGGGAAUCCCAGUGAUGUCCGUAAUCAUCCAUCCGAUAGCCUUUUUGUACUUUCAUAGUACAAAAAAGUGCUUCUACUUGUCAUUCUACCAUGUAUUCAAUAAUGAACACUGAUAAAGUGUUUUUUCCCAUGGAGAAAUAUGUAUCUUAAAUCGCCUAUAAAAUCUCUUAACUCUAAUACUACUGGUUCCUUAAUAAAUGAAUUUUCCGGAAGGAGUUGACAUAUUUUUCAAGUCCAGUCUAAAUUCUUUGAGACCUAAGAGUAUGACCUCAUUUCUUCAAAAAGACUAAACAUUUUCUCAUAAUCUUUGAUGUCCUCUUGUAGAAAUUCAUCAUUAUGUAGCUAAGGUUUCAACAAAAAACCUUUCUUCAAUAGGUACCUUCUUAUCAACCUCAUCAACAACAUCGAUAACUGAGAUGACAUUUCUAUUCCUAUGUUGCUUCAUUGACUAGAAAAUGUUGAACUUCACCUUUUUUUCAACCUAAAUUUUAACUCAUUGUACUCUAUGUCAACACAACACUCUUCCAGCAGUUAAGAAAGGUCUACCCAAGAUUAUGGAUACCUUAAAAUCCACCUCACAAUUAAGACUUGGAAAUUUAGUUAGGAAUAUAAAGUUUACAACCUUUGCAUGCAUAUCAUAUAGUACUCCCACUGGCCACUUGACUAAAAAAUCAAAGAUAAAUAACUACAUAGACAUUAGCUUGGGGGGUCCUAAGCCCAACAGCUGAUAGAUGGAUAGAGAUAUCAAAUUAAUGCUUGCUCUAAGAUCAUAAAAUACCUUAGCGAAGUUGAUAGAAUCGACUAAGUGGACACCUAGUUGGGCAAGCUAAUGAACUUCCUGAACUAAUCUCUUCUUCUCAUUCUCCACAUAAGCAACACUACCCAUGGACAUCUAACUGAGAGCAUCAACCAAUACAUUGUCCUUGCCUAAAUAAUACGAAACACUCAUGUCAUAGGCUUUCAACAACUCCAACCACCUUCUUUGACGGAGGUUUAGGUCUUUCUGAGAGAACACUUACUGAAGGCUCUUAUGGUCCGUGAACACAUCAACAUGUACCCCAUAAAAAUAUGCCUCCAAAUCUUUAAGGCAAAUACUACAGCUGUUAACUCAAGAUCAUGAGUAGGGUAGUUCUUCUCAUGAGGCUUAAGAUGUCUAGAGGCAUAGGCUAUGGCCUUACCUCUCUGCAUCAAAACACACCCCAAAACAACUCUGGAAGCAUCACAAUAUAUCACAAACCCAUCUAAACUAUUCGGUAGAGUCAAAAUUGGGGUUGUAGUGAGUUGAGUCUUAAAAUCCUGAAAACUCUUCUCAUAAGAAUCUGACCACUAGAAUUUUACUUUCUUUUGGGUCAAUCUGGAUAUGGGGGAUGCAAUAAAUGAAAAUCCCUCAACAAACCGUCGGUAAUAGUCAGCCAAACCCAAGAAACUCUUGAUAUCUAUCAGAGAAAUAAGCCUGGGCCAGUUUUUACUGCUUUGGUCUUUUGAGGAUCCACUCUAAUGCCAUCACCAAAAACUAUAUGACAAAUGAAUGCUACUGACCUUAGACAAAAUUCACACUUAAUGAGUUUGGCGAACAACUGAUGGUUUUUUAGAGUCUGUAAUACUAUUCUAAGAUGGUCUGCAUGAUUAUACUCACUACGGAAGCAGACAAAAGUGUUAUCUAUGAAGACUAUGAUGAACAAGUCUAAGUACUACUUGAACACACGGUUCAUCAAGUUUAUGAAAGUGGCUGGGGCUUUGGUAAGACCAAACAACAUGACUAAGAAUUUGAAGUGACCAUAUCGAGUUCUGAAGGCUGUCUUUAGAAUGUCAAAUUCUCUGACUCUGAGCUGAUUAUAGCCUGAUAUAAUGUCUAUCUUAGAAAAGUAACUGGCACCCUAAAGUUGGUCAAACAAGCCAUUAAUUCUGGAAAGUGGAUACUUGUUCUUGAUUAUGACCUUAUGUAGCUAGUGAUAGUCUAUACAUAUUCUAAGAGAACUAUUUUUCUUACGCACGAAUAGAACUGGUGCACCCCAAGAGGAUACACUGGCUCUGAUGAAUCCCUUAUCUAGGAGAUACUUACACUGCUCUUUUAACUCCUUGAGUUCUGCUAGAGCCAUUCUGUAUGGUGGAUGAGCUAUGGGCUGAGUAUCUAGAAGAAGGUUUAUUCAAAGUCAAUUUCCUUCUUGGGAUGAACUCUGAGAAGAUCUUCGGGAAACACAUCUGGGAAUUCACAUGCAACUAGAACUAACUAAAGCUGGGUGUAUCGGAACUAGAAUCCUUAACUCAAACGAGAUGAUAGAUACAUCCCUUAGAUAUCAUUUUUCACACCCUUAGGUUAGAAAUAAGCUAACCCCUGAGUGCUGAGCUACUACACCUCCAUUCUAGGAUAGGUUUAUUCCAAAACUAAAAUUAGAUAAUUCUAUUUCUACAGUCAACUGAAGCAUAGCAUGAAUAAAGCCAAUCCAUGCCGAUAAUGAUAUCAAAAUCUAUCAUCUCUAAUUUAACUAAGUCCACUGAAGUGACAUUCUAAGAUACUAUAACCGAACAGUUCCUGUAUACCCAUCGAGCUAUGAUAGAUUUAUCUACUGGAGUAGAGACUGAGAAAGCCUCUGCUAGAAUUUUGGGACUGGCUCCAAAGUCAACAACUAUAUAAGGAGUUACAAAAGACAAAAAAGCUCCUGGAUCUAGCAAAGCAUAAAUAUGAAAAUGAUAAACUUAUAAUGUACCAGUGACCACAUUAGGAGAACUCUCCUGAUCCUGUUGGGACUAAAGUGCAUAGAGUCUAUUUGGACGUUCCCACUGGUAGCACUGGAAGAAGCACCCUGCUGAUUCGGGCUACUGGACUGAGCCGGGGGAUGAUUAUGCUAACUCCAUAAACACACCUGAGGUCAUUAUCUGACCUUGUGGCCUGGAUUGCCUUAUUCAAAACAUAUAUCUCUGCUAGCUCUACGGAUACCCUGAUAGUUUCUACCACACUUCUAGCAGAGAGGAUUCAUUCGGGCACUAUUAACACUACCUUGGGGAUUAGCGCCUAAUGCUCUAUCUCUAUUGUCGUCUCUGAAUUUUGACAUUGGAGCACUGUCUAAGGAUGGAGCUGGGACUGAAGACUUCUGGCGGAACUGAGGACGAUUACCAUCCUUUGACUUAGGUUGGGUGAAGUUGAAGCUACCUGUUCUAGCUCUCUUAUUUUCCCUUUACUUCUCCUUAUUCUUAGCCUCCUCUAUCUGCUGAGCAUGGACCAUGAGCCUGGAUAUGUCUAUCUCCUUAAUCAGUAUUACGGUCCUACACUCCUUUACCACACUAUUAGACACGCCAGACACAAACUUACUCAUCUUAGAUUUGUUAUCUGCUACUACAUGAGGGGCAUAUCUAGCUAAGUAACCUUGAAAGAAUACUCUUGUACUAUCAUGUUUUCCUGCUUUAGAUUAAUAAACUCUAAAACCUUCACUUCUCUCAACUCUAGUGGGAAGAUCCUAACCAGAAAAGCAAUAGCAAACUUCUCCCAUUCUAUGGGCCCUGUAUCUGUGGCCCUCUUUGCUUUCCACUGUUUGAACCAUGAGUGAGCCAUAUCUUGUAAUAGAUAUGCGACCAACGCAGAUCAAGAAAUUCCUGUGGGUCCUUAUCUAACUUUGACUUAGUAAAAGAGGGAGGGUUUAUUCGGCUGAAGUCUCGAAUCCCAGCUGCAGCAGUAUUAGCCAUUAGGUUGGCCAAAAUGAUAAUUGGACAUUUAUUCUGGGCUGCCACAAAAUGAGCUAGGGUGGUAAAAGUUGCUCUGAAUUCCACGUGGGAGACAUGCUCAUCUAGAGGAUCUGGCUGGAUGAGAUAAGGUGCUAGCUAGUCUCUUAUUCCUCUUCCCUUAGUCUUUUUUAGAGGCAUGUUUAAUAAACAGAAUGGAAAAGGAUUAGACUAAGAGUUUAAUUGGAGCUCAUGCUCACUCGAACCACAUGAAUACUAAAAGAAGGGAAAAUUUUCCUAAGACAUCUAAUAGCCUCCUGUCCAUAAGUGUGGCACGCUAUACACCCAUGCACAAGACUUGACUAGAUAUGACUUUCAGACUUCCUAGGACUCUAUUAAACCUUAGUCUUUGAUACUAAGUUUGUAGUGCCCCGAGUCUGUACUCCAGAUGCUACAUGGUGCUAGCGACCCCGAAGGACCACCAGUUAACCCAUGAACAGUAUCUACUGUGAGCACUGAAUAAUAAUAACACUGUAAAAUUAAUAUAAUUGAAAUAUGUGCGAAAGUUAGGCUAAAAAAGCCUUAAAGACCAAUACCGAAUACUGAAAGCUGAAUAUUGAAAAACUAAAAAAUCCAUCUAAAAUACUCUAUUCUGAAAGCCUCUAAUUGUCUGAAGUAUAGAGCUGAUGGGACAAGCCCCCAACUAACUCGACUACUAAAAACUGUACUAAAAUACUAAAAUAACAUUCUAUCCUUAAACUAUGAGAACUCACCACUAAGUCUAUUUCUAAUAGGCUGCACUGCUAAGUACAGUCAGGAGCCCGUGCAUCUGAACCUAUGAUAUAAUACAUCAUAGCACAAAAGAAAGGUAUGCGUUAGUACUUUGAAUGUACUAGUAUAUUAAGUAAGGUAGACUGAUAUGCAUGGGUUCAUAUGUAUGAACAAUAACUGACUGAGUAACAGGAACAUCACUGAAUUAGAGAACAUGCAUGGAUACAUAAAUUGUAACUGAGAUCAUGUUAACAUUGGUUACUGGGUUCUGAAUACUGAUUAACUGAUAUCUGAGUUUACUGAUACUGUAAUACUGAUAAUUGAGUGACUGUUUCUGACAAUCCUGAUUAAUAAUUGGGUGACUAUUUCUAAUAGUCCUAAUUCUGUAGAACUAAACUGAGUUCUAUACUAAGUUGGGUGAAUGUAUCUGGCAGCCCUGAUUCUGUAUAACUGAACUGAGUUCUAUUCUGAGAUUAAAACUAAAACUAAAACUAAAACUGAAACUAUUAGAGCUAAUCAUCUAACUGACAUUCCUCUCCCUGAAUGGAUUAGGGUCCAACUUAAAGCCCCAGUUGCAAGGGUGUCAGUACCAUGCCACAGGUAAAGACAAGCUGUGAGUUAACCCUCUCUAACAAGAAGCUCUUUCAUCAACCCUCACUGGCAGGAAAAUUCAUACGAGAUGUAUCAACCCUAAUCUGGCAGGGAGAUAUCUCAACCUACGCUGGCUAUAUUGUUCUGUAACGCAGGGAUUGCUACUAAGGAUCAAACUCUAUGAUGGCCAAAAUGCCCCUAUUCCUGGGUUCGGUCGUACUGAAUCCUACUUCCAACCAACUUCUACCUCCCUUCAUCACAUAAACCCUAAUGCAAUCUACCACAAAACCUGUAGGGAAGAUAUGAUGGAGCUGACUAGGCCCCACUAUCCUGAGAUUGGGCACCCUAUGCUCUAAAGUCGACACCAUCUUGGAAAUGCCUAUCUCCCAACGUCUUUAGGUAGGGAGCACUAGACGUUAAGUAAGACCAAGAAUUGACCCACUUCUUCUUGGGACACUUCCCACCAUCCCUGUUACUCUACUAUUGUCCAUUACCCUACUCGGAGAACCUAAAUUUCUUGCCCUGCCUCUCCCUUAUAUCCUCCUGCUUCUUCUUAUCUUCCUCUACCUUUCACAUGUACACUACCAACAUAGAGAUAUCCAUGUGCUUGAUCAACAAGGUAGCCUUAAUCUCUAAUAUCAAAUCUCUGGACAACCCAGAAGCAAACUUUCUCAUUCUAUCACUCAUGCUAGAAAUCAUCUCUGAAGCAUACCAAGAUAACUAGUGAAACUUUAAGGCAUACUCCUUGACUGACAUUUGUCCUUUCUUUAGAUGGACGAAGUCUUCUACCUUUUAUUCCCUCAACUCUUGAGGAAAGAAGUGGUCUAGGAAAGCAUUAAAGAAAUCACCCCAAAAAUCUAACUCGACAUCUUUACCCUUAGUCUGUUACGAUUCCUUAUACCAUUGGUAUGCUACAUCUUUCAGUUGAUAGGAAACAAAUUCCAUAUUAGUAGCAUAUAUAACAUGAAAUAUCUUUUCCAUAUAAUCCACAAAAGCUUAAGGAUACUUCCAAACCUUACACACCAAUGAACACAAGAGGGUUCAACCUUAUGAACUGGGCAACCCUUCUGGCCUUAGAAGAUGGAGUAACAGAAACACCAUACUCAGCCUGAAAAGCUACCAAAAAACCAACAUAAGGAUAGACUGACACUCAGCAUUCAUUAUAUCAGCCUAAUAAGCUCGAGGAGGACUAGAGAGAAUCGGUGGAACUCCAGGAGGACAAUCAUGAACUGUACCCCUAGAUCGAGUCUGGACCCCAUAAGUAGAAUGGUCCCAUCAAUAUUGUCCUCGGGUAGGAUAAAGGAGUUUCCAUGAGCUUCAUAUCAUUGAGGAUGCAUGAUCUAAAAAGCGAACUAACAAGAAUUAGAGGAGAAUUCAGGACCUUAUACUCUACAGCUCAAAAAUAGAACACAAGAAAGAGAAACAUUCCUAAAUGGCUUGUAGCCUCUACUUUAGGAGUGUGGUAUGCUACACAGUUUUAAAAGAGACCCUAUUCGACACGGCUUUAUGGACUAUUAAGUGACCAUGAGCCCAGGGUUCUGAUACCAAUCUGACAUAACCUAAACUAGCGCCUAGUCAUGUUGGGUUCCUCAAGCCUAACCGGUAUUAGAGACCACCCAAGUACCCAACCAUAAUUGCCCUACACCUUAUGUUGGAUGAAUUUUGAACAUACAACAAGAUAGAUCAAUAAUAAAUCAAAGACAUUAAUUAACUCCUAUAACGAUAAUCCAACAACCUUAAUCAAAUAUCCAACUAGUGUCAUCUCCAAUAGCAAUACCAACCUAAGGCUAACACCAAUACCAAUACCACCCAUGCCUAUAAUAGUCACAUAAAGCCUCUAACUGAAAUCCAAGAACAUUCGAUUGGGAUAUGCCCCCGACCAUAGAUAAAACCAAAGUCCAAGAAAUAAACAAAAGGAUGAAAAGAAAUACAUAGUAUGAAAUGUAGUCUAUCAGAGUAUGGAAGAUCACUACUUUAGUCUAACACAAAGCUGUUCUCGAAUCUAAGUCACUGAGAGGGGGAGUAGUAUGGAUGGUUCCUACAUCGCGUGGGGAUACAAUACCUGAAGAUAGGUUAAUGGGUAGAGUUAGGAUAAAAUAAUGCCAUUAUUCAAAACUAAUGUAAAUAACUAAAUGCAAGAACAUUCAUACAUAUAUUUAUAUUUAUUAUGCUAAGAAAGGGAACCAGGUUUAGGAUGCAUAUAAAACCUUUAACUUGGGUUGUAUAGGUUGACCAUCCUAAAACCACCCAUGGGCUAUAUGGGUCUAGUUUUACCCCCUAGACAUACCCCAGUGUGCGUAGCCGCAUGAACUAGAGAUAUCAUAGGGGACGACAAAUGACAUGUACACUUCUCCCUCCAUGAUACCUAUAUACAAGUAUAAAUUUAAGGGAUUCCUCUAUACCCCACAAGUAUAUGGUCACUAUAGCCAACCCUUAUAUCGGCAAACAUAGGUUUCCAGUGUUCGUCCAGCGAAUUCACACCUUUACGAUUAGCUAUCACAACCCGCCAUUAUUACCAAUUAAUAUUUAGCACAUAGUCAAACCACCAAUUCUAGAAGUCAAGUGUCAAGGCAUUGUGAAGUGGUAUCGUCAUACCAAUUAUAGCUUGCAAGCAAUGUCACUAGCCAACACUUAGGGGUUUCCCAUGUACCCCAUAAGAUUUCUAAUUAAACUAAAACCAUGACCACCAAGGCCUUUCCACCAUUUAAUACCAACCAAACCAAUUUAAUUUCCAUUACCAUAUUAUGCAAUUCAAAGUUUUCAAUAAUAGUCCAACUAUGUAAUAAAAUCUCUCAUAGGCAUUUUGACAAACAUGUUGACGGCAUAAGAUUUUCAAAACCAAAACCAUGUUUCAAUUGAUCAUUCCCAUGAAACCACAUGUUCAAACUACAAUUAUAACAUGAAAACCAUAAGAAAGCAUGGGAAAACAUCAUCCAACCAAAAACAACCCAAAACCCCUAACAUAUUUUCAAAACCUAAAAUAAUAUCAUAAUAAUACUAUGAAAACCAUCCAUUAAAACAUGAUUUUUGUUUAGCCUAUAAUGAGGGAGGAGUGACAUGCCUUAGACACCAAGGAAGAUGAAGAGAUUCACUCUUAAAAGUCCCUAAUUGAUUGCCUUGUAGAAACCCUAGCCUUUUCUUGAACCAAGAGCUUGAGAGAGAUCUGAGAGUGCUUAGAGAGUGUUUAAUUGAGAAUAAUAGAUUAAGAAACCCUCCAAAGGUGUUUUAUAUUGAGGGGUCACAAGGAGUUAAGAGGGGGGAUGUCCAGAAUACCCCUAACUUAAACUUUAAAAUUUUUUGUAGGUGGAUACGAUUUGAAUCCCUUACUUGUACCCACAUUAUACGAGUGAUACCUUCCACUCGUAACUUGAUAAAAAUUUAGACAUCAUAUUCUAUCCAACAUACGACUCCUUAUCCUAACUCGAACCCUGACCAUAUGACUAGUAUCCUUAAGUCAAACCCUAAGCAGAAAUAUCUAGGCUAGACACUAGACAAUAUAUGAUUUGGACCCUACCUCUCGUAUUAUAUACAUACGACUCAUAUGAAGUCUCCUCAUACCAAGAAUAGAACUUGAUCGACAUAAUACUGACCAACAUAUGUCUAGGGUCCUUAGACCCGUAACCUCACCAUAUAACUAUUACGGUGAGUCAUAUUAUCAAUAGAAGGCUCAAACUUACAAAAAUUUUCAAGGUCCAGAACCCAGGUUGUUUCAAGUAUCACCAUUGUUUUUGUUUUUAUUUUGGGUCAUAGGUUGAUGGAAAGUCUGAGUACCAGUGACCCAAACUAAGGAGUAUGGCAAAGACUGAGUAUGGUGUCCUCCUUACCUCUUUAAUGAUCAAGAUGCUACUUGGUAGGCCUAGAGGCCUCAUGGUGUAUUUAUAUCCUUACUUUUAAUUUAUACUUUGGGGAAAAAGUGUAAUUUUAAGUGUGGGGUGGGUAAUCUUCUGAUUGUUUAGGAUAAAGUGCUGCUUUAGGAUUUCCAUUUUAAGUAUUUUUUAGUUUUUGACUAAACUUAAACAAAGUUACAAAAAGAUUUGAUCUAUGUUUAUUUUUAGAUUUUGUUGAUGUUAGUCUAGUGGAAGCACACUUUACCUACCUCAUGGUUUUUCUUAUUGGUUCUUUCCAAGGGGCGCCCUUUGAACUCAGUAACUUAUUUUUACUUUUAAGAGUAAUUUAAAAUUUUGGUCAUUAGGAAUAAAUAAGAUGUUCUUGCUAAGGGAUAUAUAUGAUUACAUGAUUGUAAGCUAGUUUUGAAUGUAAAUCUAUGUACAAUGAGUUGAAUGACUAUUUUUGAGACACCUAGGCUCAUUUAUCUAACUCUUGUGCGAUGUUGGCUUAAUUUUGAAUUCUUGAUAUUGCUUGGUCGAGAUUCUAUAGAGAUCCUUCUUGAUUUAAGCAUGUGUCAUAUUUGAGUGAGGUCUUUUGUUACAUUCCUUGUUGAAUAUUGAUUUCUUAACUUGUCAGGUGUGUAUGCAAAGUGAAAUAAAGAAUAUUAGAUUUAGGAGAAGAUAUAGACAUUUCUUUGAUAGUCAUGUCUUAUACCCUCUUUAUCUACCCUUAUUGCAUUGCACUAGUUAGCCCUAUUAAGCCUUUAUCCUACUCAUUGGUAGCCUUAUAUGCAGCUUAUUCUCUUUUUUUUGAUUGACCAUAAUUUGAUCCAAAGGUUUUAAGAACUUUAGUUGAAAGAUUAAGAUGUUAAGGAGCGUAAAAUUGAAGAAGGAAAAGAGUGAAAGCAAAGCCAAAAAAUAGAAUCUAUUGGUGUGAUAGAAAUAUUUAUGUUUUAAUGGUGCGGAGCAGUGUAAUGGAAAUACCAAUUUAUCAAAAAAUGAAUUAUGUGUUAUUAUUAAAUACUCCUCACUUAAGAUAUGUGAACUAGCUUAAAGAGAUGAGGCAAAACAAAAGUGAAGUGGGAAUAUAAAUGAAACACCCUAAUUUCUAGACCUUAGAAAAUUUCUAGGAAUUUUGAUCUCUGGACCCAAUACGACUCAUGGGUAUGAUCCGUGUUUUGGGGUACGGAUUGUAUGGUCUAGUUGUAUACAGACCAGUAUUGGUUGGUGGGAUGGAUUUUGGUUACUGAAAUGGAUACGACUUAGGGGUACGAGUAGUAUUAGUAGGUAUGGAUCGUUUGGUUCCUUAAAUUAAUCUUAGACUUGGAUACUUAGGUUGGAUAUGAGUACGAAUGGCUCACUAUAAUCUAUAAUCUAGGGUACAAGUCAUACCAAGGACUCGUGUGGUGGACAGUGUCUAAAUCUUUCUUAGGUUUAAAUCUGCCAAGGGUACGGAUGAAUGGUAUAGAUCAUAUGCUUUGGAUACGACUUGAUUGGAUGAGUUGUAUAUUGGAUAGUGUUGGGAGCAAGGGUUGAGGCUCAGGAUACGAGUGGAGGGUACCACUCGUAUAAGAGGGUAUGACUCAAGAGGGUCAGUCGUACCCCUAUGAUGGGAUUUUGUGAAAUUUAAGUGGGGGUAUUCUGGAUAUUUCCCCACUUAUUUUAAUAAGGUCCCACAACUUUUAACCUACUUAGGAGGACAUUUAACCUAUUAUUCUAUUCAUUAUACCUUAGAAACUCUUCUAAACACUUUAUACUUCUCUCAAAUUCUUUUAGGUAAGGGAAACUAGGGUUUCAACUAGAGGAUUGAUUUGGGGCUUGUCUUGGUGAUUUAUUUUCAUCAUCAUCAUGGUUUAAGGUAUGUUAUCUUUCUUCAUUGUUAAUUCUAAAUAGAAGCAUAGUUUUUAUGAAUGUUUGCAUGACUUCAUUGAUUGUAUGAUUUUUGUUUUCAAAUAUGAUUUGGGGGUUUUGAUAUUAAAUAAUUGAUUAUGGUUUUCUAUGGUUUUAAUUAUGUUUUAUGUAUAUUAAUGGUGAUUUUGGAUAAUUAGAUUGCAUGGGAAUGGGUUAUUGGUAAUUGAAAUUGGUUUUGGUUAUAUUAUACCCCCAAUAUGUUUGACAAAAUGCCUACAAUAAUGUUUUCAUUGCAUUGAGUAUUUUAAUGGAACUAUUGCAUAGUUUAAAACUUGGUAAAGGAAAUAUGGAUGGUUUAAAUAGCUUGGAAAGGUAAAUUGCUAAAUUGUUAUGCUUUUGAGGUACAUGGAAUCCCCUAAGUGGUUUAAUGUGAUGAUUGGAUAGGGCACUUGAAUGUCCCCUUAAAGAUAUAAAUGGUUAGCUAUGGAUGAUAUUUGCAAGUAAAUAUUGGUAUGAUGAUACCAAUAUUAAUGGCAUUGGUUAAUAACUGGUUAAUUGGAAAAUGGUUUUAAUUGGGCAUUAGUAGCACGAUGUGUAGCAAAGCCAUGGAAGGUGGAGGUCCCACGGGGAGAAAAACUGGAGACUUAUAUUUGCCAAUAUAAAAUUGGUCUUGGUGGCUAUAUACAUGAUGUCACACUAUAUUUUGGAGGAUGUACUAGUUCUCCCAGGUUUUAUUCCCUGGUGAUGCAGCUUCACACACUGGGGCCCUUUUGCCAGGGAAAGAUGAAUCCAUAUAGCCCAUGGAUAGUUUAGGACAACAAAGCUACAUAACCCAGGUAAAGGUUUUAAAGGCAUGCUAAACCUGAUUUCCUUUCCCCACAUGGUUUUAUAUAUAUACAUAUGGUCGUGUGCAUAUAGAUGGUUUUACUCAGUUUUAUAAAUGGCAUUAUUUUAUCCUUAUACUGAGAUCAGGCUAGCUUUCACCCGCUAACCCGUAUACUACCCAAGUGCAUAAACAGACCGUUCUACUUUUCCUACAUAGUGAUUGAAUUAUGAAUCAACAUUUGGGCUGAAGUGGCGAGCUUUCAUCCUUUUGAAAGGCUCUAUUUCAUGUUACAAAUAUUUUUUAGACUCUUUAAUUUUAUUUUGGAUAUUGGUUUUGGCCAUGGUUGGGGGCAUGUCCCAAUCGAAUUUUAUUACUCUUUUGGAUAAAAGCUAUAUGGUACUACUAUAGGUUGGAAUAGGUGGGAUCAAUAUUAGUGUCAGCCUUGGCAUUGGAAUAACUGGAGGACUGACAUCAUCAAAUAUAAUUUCUCACUAUUCCAUCAUAUUUUACUUUAGGAUUAAUUAUAUUAUAUUUUGGAACAUUCUUGGUUAUGGCCUGGUUUAUGGAACUUAGUUAGGUAGAGUUUUAGUAUGGUUAGAUUGUUGGUGCAGGAAGGUUGGACUCGGUUGGGUCGGUCACGAUUGUGACCUUAUCCCAUCGUCUUCAUGUGAGCUAUUUUACUAUCUUGCUACAUGCUCGAAAUUCAGCCAACUCCAGGUAGGCGGUUUAAGGUUGGGUUGGGUAAUAGGGGUGGUAUCCGGUAGCGAUCGUACUUAGGUUUCCCAUUACAACAAGGCCCCUGGUCGGGUCACAUCAAGUUGGUAUCAGAUCCUAGGUUCAUGGUCAAUUGGGAGUCCAUAAAGUCAUGUCUAGUAGAGUCUUAUUUAGGGGUGUGUAGCGUUCCACACUCAUAAGGUAGAGGCUACAUGGAAUUUAGGAAUGCCUCACUUUCUUGGUAUUCUAUUCUCAAGCUUGGAGUCUCAGUCUUGGAAUCUUCUCUAAUCCUUAUUUGUUCAUCUUUCAGAUCAUGCCUCAUAAAUCUGAAACAUAAGAAAAUUCUUCUAUCCCAUCUAGGGGUAAUGCUGAAUGGGUGCAUCCUACUUUUGCGGUUCAUCUUCGAUCUCAUGGUCCUAUCCCUCAUAGUUUGUGAGUUCCACUGAUUGCUACUAGUCCUCCUUAAGGCGAUGUGACUUAUGCAAAAUCUUGUCAGUCUAUUCAUAUAAUUGCUCAGAUUGUUGCUGCUCAAGAUGAGUGGGGUAUGACUAGUACUUUGUCUGCUGAGGCCAUAAGGGUUGCCCAAUUUAUAAAGAUGGGUCCUUUCACUUUUUCUGGAGUGAAGGUGGAAGAGAAUCCAUAAGGCUUCUUAGACGAAAUGGAAAAGAUAUUUGGGGUGAUUGUAGGCUACCAAUAUGAAGGGGGUAAACUUUGUAUCUUAUCAUCUCAAAGGGGUUGUAUAUCAGUGGUAUAAAGAGUGGGACAGAGAUAAGGGUAGUAUAGAAGAAUCAGUCUUACGAGAUAUUUUUUCCAAGACCUUAUUAGAUCGUUUCUUUCCCCAAGAGUUAAGGGAAUCAAAGAUAGAAAAGUUUAUAAACCUCAGGCAAGGGAGAAUAUCUGUCAAGGAAUAUUCCUUAAAGUUUCACCAAUUGUCAAGGUAUGCUCUUGAUUUAGUUGCUAACAUACGGCGGGAAAGAAUGGGGAAGUUUACUUCUGGGUUGAAUUAGGAUUUGAUUUUGGAGAGAAAGACUACUUUGCAAAUUAAAGUUAUGGACAUCUUUAGGUUGACUGGUCAUAUGGAGCAAGUAGAGGAUAAAAAAGGAAGCAGGUGGAGUUUAGGGAUAGACAGGGUAAGAGGAACAUGUUUUCUGACUAGGGAGAUGCUCAGUCUCAGGGUUGUCGGGAUGGUGGCAAAUGGCCGAAAAAAAGAUAAGGGAUUUCUAGUUCCUACUCUUCUACUAAUGAUCCUUACCAGGUGAGCGACAAGUGUCAUCAAGAUGGUGAUAAUUUUUGGGCAUAGGGUUCCCUAUAUCAGGUAAGUGGAGAUUAGUCAGUUUCUUCAUAUCCUUCUUGUCGGUUCUAUGGUUAUCCUUAUCGGGGUUAUUACAAUAAAGGUAGGGAGAAAUGCUUCAGGUGUGUCUAUCCUGGCCAUCGUCUCAGAGAUUGUCCAGUUAAUAAAGUAGCUAUAGGGGUAAAUAAGAUUUCUGUGGCUUCAUAUUCUGCUCUUAUACCUGGUGGUAUGGCAUCUACUCAUGUUACUGCUCCUGGUUCUAGUAUUGGUCGAAACAAGUUGUAUGCUUUGGCAUCCUGACAGAAAUCUAAGGCAUCACCUGAUGUCGUUACUGGUAUACUACAACUUUUCUCUUGUUACAUAUAUUGUUUGCUUGAUCUAGGGUCAACACUCUCCUAUAUGACAUCUUAUGUGGCUUUAUUUUUUGGUUUCAAUCCAUCCUUUUUUUAUUUCCACCCCAAUAGGUAACUCGAUUACUUCUAAGAGAGUCUAUAGAGGUUAUAUGGUGUCUAUUGGUGGCAAGAAAACCUUGAUGGAUCUAUUUAAGUUGGGUAUGGUGGAUUUCAAUGUCAUUCUGGGUAUGGAUUGGUUUUACUCUUAUUACUUAUCCUUGUAUUGUCGGACUCAUAGGGUUCUCUUUAGGUUCCCCGAAGAGCCAGUUAUAGAAUGGGAGGGUAGUUAUUUAGCUCCUAGGGGGAUAUUUAUUUCUUAUCUUAGAACUAGGAGGUUAAUCUCUAAAGGUUGUCUUUAUCACUUGGUUCAAGUUAAAGAUUCUAAUUUGGAAGGUUCUUCUUUCCAGUCAGUUCCAGUGGUUAAUGAGUUUUCAAAGGGCUUUUUGGAUGAACUUCUUGGUGUUCCUCCAGAAUGGGAAAUAGAGUUUGGUAUUGAUCUUGUUUUGGACACUCAUCUAAUUUCUAUUCCUCCAUAUAGAAUGGCUCUGAUUGAGUUGAGGGAACUUAAGGAGCAACUUAAGAAUCUUCUAGAUAAGGGGUUUAUUCAACCUAGUGUAUCUCCUUGGGGUGCACCGGUGUUGUUUGUGCGCAAAAAGGAUGGUUCCCUUUGGAUGUGCAUUGAUUAUGGGUAGUUGAACAAGGUGGAGGUCAAGAACAAGUAUCCUCUUCUAAGGAUAGAUAACCUAUUUGAUCAGUUACAAGGUGCCAAGUUCUUUUCUAAGAUAGAUCUUUGGUCUGGGUACCAUUAAUUAAAGAUUAGGGAGGUGGAUAUCCCUAAGAUGGAUUUUCAUACUCAGUAUGGUCACUUUGAAUUUUUGGUGAUAUCAUUUGGAUUAACUAAUGCUUCGGUGACAUUUAUGGAUCUAAUGAACAAGCUUUUUCUUCAGUUUUUAGAUCUUUUCAUUAUUGUGUUUAUUGAUAACAUUCUGGUUUAUUCAAAGAGUAAGAUGGAUUAUUCUAAUCACCUCUAUGUGGUGUUGUUGACCUUAAAGGAACAACAGUUGUAUGCCAAGUUCUCCAAGUGUGAUGUUUGGUUAAACACUGUAAUUUUAUCAGGUUAUAUUAUUUCUAGUGAGGGGAUCAUGGUGGAUCUGUAAAAGGUUAUUGUGAUGAAGAGGUGGCCAAGACCCAUGACUCCAUCCGAUAUUUGAAGCUUCUUGGGUUUAGCCGAGUAUUAUAGGUGGUUUGUGGAAAGGUUUUCAUCGAUAGUUGCUUCUUUGACUAAGUUAACUCAUAAGAAUGUCAAGUUUUCUUGGUUAGAUACUUGUGAAGGGAGUUUCAAUAAGUUAAAGGAUAAGUUGACUUCAGCUUUAAUUUUGACUUUGUUGGAAGACAAUGAUGAUUUUAUAGUUUAUUGUGAUGCAUCUUGAGUGAGGCUUAGUUAUGUGUUGAUGCUGCAUGGGAAGGUGAUUACCUAUGCUUCUAGGCAGUUGAAGGUACACAAGAGAAACUAUACUACUAAUGAUUUAAAGCUAUUGGCGGUUGUGUUUUCUUUAAAACUAUGGUGGCAUUAUUUGUAUGGUGUGCACGUGGAUAUCUUUUCUGAUUAUAAGAGUCUACAGUAUGUGUUCACUCAUAAAGAUCUUAAUAUCAGGCAGAAAAGAUGGCUUGAGCUUCUCAAGAACUAUGAUAUGAGUCUUCACUACCACCCAGGUAAGGCUAACAUAGUUGCUGAUGCUCUUAGCUGGUUAUCCAUGGGGAGUUUGACUCAUGUAGAUAAAAGAAAGUGGGAAUUAGUAAAGUCUAUUCACCGCUUGGCUAAUCUUGGAGUUUUUCUCUUAGACUCCAAGGAUGGUGGUGUGAUGGUGCAAAAAGUGGUUCGAUCAUCUCUUGGUAAUGAGAUUAAGGAGAAGAAAGUGCUAGAUCCUAUCUUGAUGAAAAUCAAGGGUGACAUUAGUGGGCAAAAGGUAGUGGUGUUUGAGAUUGAUGGUGAUGGUACUUUAUGGUACCAAGGGAGGUUAUGGGUUAUUGAUGUUGACGGAUUGCAACAAAGGAUUUUGGCUGAGGUACAUGAAUCGCUCUAUGUUGUUCAUCCUAGCUCGACUAAGAUGUAUCAUGAUAUCAAAGAGAUCUAUUGGUUGAAUGGUAUGAAGAAAGAUGUGGUUAAUUUUGUGGCUAAGUGCAUGGUGUGUCAACAGGUUAAGGUUGAGCACAUGAGGCCAGGAGGGUUGUAUUAAGAAAUUUAUUUUCUCAAGUGGAAAUGGGAAGUGAUAACAUAGACUUCGUUACCCAUCUUUCUUGGUCUCAAAAUCAAUAUGAUUCAAUUUGUGUCAUCGUGGAUAUAAUAACCAAGUCUGCUCACUUUUUGCCAGUGCAGACUACCUUCUCGGUGGAGGAUUAUGCAAAGUUGUAUCUUCAGGAGAUUGUGAAGAUGCAUGUGGUGCCUAUUUCAAUUAUUUAUGAUCGUGGAAUGCAAUUUACAUUUCACUUCUAGCGAUCUUUUCAAAAAGGGUUGGGGACUAAGGCUAGUUUGAGUACUGCUUUCCACUCGCAGAUGGAUGGGCAAGCGGAAAGAACUAUUCAGACAUUGGGGGAUGUCCUUUGGGCUUGUGUGAUUGAUUAUUGAAGCAAUUGGGUUGAGUAUCUGCCUUUGGUGGAUUUUGCUUACAAUAAUAACUAUUAUUCUAGUAUUGGGUUGGCCCCUUUUGAGGCAUUGUAUGGUAGGAGGUGUAGAUCACCUAGUGGUUGGUUUGAGCUUGGUGAGAAUAAUAUGUUUGGUCUCGACUUUAUUUACCAGGCUAUGAGAAGGUGAAGUUGAUUCGGGAGAGGCUUAAGGAUGCCCAAAGUCACCAAAAGUCCUAUACAGAUGUUAGGCGUAGAGACUUGGAGUUUGAGGUUGGAGACAAGGCUUUUCUCAAGGUAUCUCCUAUGAAGGGAGUGGUGUGGUUUGGUAAGAAGGAGAAGCUCAAUCCCCGGUAUGUUGGACCUUAUGAGGUUUUACGGAGAGUUGGUAAUGUUGCUUAUGAGCUGGAGUUUCCUUCUAGCUUAAGCUUGGUUCAUCCGAUCUUUUCUGUUUCCAUGUUGAGGAAGUGAGUUGAUGAUCCUUCUUUGGUGGUUCCUUUGGAAGGAUUGGGUAUCAUUGAUUCUUUGUCUUAUGAAGAAAUCCCGGUUGAGAUCUUAGAUAGGCAAGUUUGUUGGCUGUAGACCAAGGAUGUAGCUUUGGUUAAGGUUCUUUGGUAGAACCAUACGGUAGAAGUUAAAUGAAAAGCGGAAGAGGACAUAAAGUCUAAAUAUCCGCAUUUGUUUUCUUCUCCUAGGAUUUGUGCGGAAGGUAUGUGUCUUCAACACAUCUUUAUUUUCUGAGUUUCUUAAAGGAAAGAUUAAUAUCUUUGCCUUUUGUUUUCAAACUUUGUUAAAGAUUGGGAAUAUAUUUGAUAAUGCAAAUGACUCGUGCGUGUGGUUAUCCCUACCUUGUCCGUCAUUCGGGGAUGAAUGUUCCUAGUGGGGAAGACUGAAACACCCUAGUUUUUGGACCUUAGAAAAUUUUCUGGAAUUCUAAUCUCUAGACCCAAUAUGACUCAUGGGUACGAGCCGUAUGUUGGGGUCCUGAUGAUAUGGUGCAGCCGUAUGCUAACUAGUGUUGGUUGGUGGGAUGGAUUUUGGUUACUAGAUGGAUAUAACUUAGUGGUAUGACUUGUAUUAGUGGGACGGAUCAUUUGGUUACUUAAAUUAAUCUUAUUCUUUGAUACUUAACUUGGAUCUGAGUACGACUGGCUGACCAUGAGCUGUAAGCCAGGGUAUGAGUCGUACCAAGGACGAGUAUAGUGGACAGUGCCUAAAUCUACCUUGGGCUUAAAUCUGCCAGGGGUACAAAUGAAGGGUACGGAUCAUAUACUUUGGAUACGACUUUGUUGGAUGAAUCAUAUGUUGGAAAGUGUUGGAUCCAAAGGUUGAGGCUCAAGAUAUGAGUAGAGGGUACCACUUGUAUAGGAGGGUAUGACUCGUGAGGGUCAUUCGUACCCCUAUGACAGGAUUUUGUGCAACUUAAGUGGGGGUAUUCUGGAUAUUUCCCCACUUAUCCUAAUAAGGUCCCAUUUCUUCUAAUCUACUUGGGAUGAUAUUUACCCUAUUAUUCUAUUCAUUAACACGUAGAAACUUUUUGAAACACUAUAAUUUUCUCAUAAGCUUUUGGGCAAGGGAAGCUAGGUUUUCAAUUAGAGAAUUAAUUUGGGGCUUGUCUUGGUGAUUCCUUUCCAUCAUCAUCUUGGUUUAAGGCAUGUUCUCUUCCCUCAUUGUUAGUUCUAACUAGAAGCAUGUUUUUUAUGAAUGUUUUCUUGACUUCAUUGGUUGUAUGAUUUUGGGUUUCUAAUAUGAUUUGGGGUUUUUGAUAUUAAAUGGUUGAUUAUGUCUUCCUAUGGUUUUAAUUAUGCUUCAUGUGUAUUAUUGGUGGUUUUGGUUAAUUGGAUUACAUGGGAAUGGUUUAGUGGUAAUUGAAAUUGGUUUUGGUCAUUAUGCCCCCAAUGUGUGUGACAAAAUGCAUUUAGUAAUGUUUUCAUUUUAUUGAGUAUUUUAAUAGAACUCUUGCGUGUUUUAAAACAUGAUAAAGGAAUUAUGCAUGGUUUAAGUGGCUUGUAAAGGUAAAUGGCUAAAUAGUUAUGCUUGUGGUGUACAUGGAAUCCCCUAAGUGGUUUAAUAUGGUAAUUGGAAAGGGCACUUGAAAGUCCCCUUAAAUCUAUAAAUAGUUAGCUAUGGAUGAUACUUGCAAGUAAAGAUUGGUAUGAUGAUACCAAUAUUAAUGACCUUGGUUAAUAACUGGUUAAUGGUUUGGUUAUUUGGAAAAUGGUUUUAAUUAGGCAUAACUGGAAUGAUAUGUAUAAAACUCGUGGAAGGUGGAGGUCCCAGAGAGAGCAAAACUGGAAACUCAUAUUUGUCAAUAUGAAGUUGGCCUUGGUGACUGUGUGCAUGAUGUCACACUAUAUUUUGGGGGAUGUGCUAGUCAUCCCAGAUUUGAUUCCCUGGUUGUAUGUCUUCACGCACUAAGGUACUUUCAGCAGGGGGAGCUGAACCCAUAUGUCCUAUGGGUGGUCUAGGACGGCAAAGCUACACAACCCAGGUAAAGGUUUUAAAGGUAUUCUAAACCUGAUUCCCUUUUCUGACAUUGUUAUAUACAUAUAUACGCAUGGGUGUGUGCGUAUGGAUGGUUUUACUUGAUUUUAUAAAUGGCAUUAUUUUAUCCUUAGCCUGAGAUCAUGCUAGUGUUCACCCGUUAAUCCAUCAACUGCGGCUGUAUCCCCAUGCUAUGCAGGAAUCGACCGUUCUAGUCCUCUUACAUAGUGAUUGACUCGGGAAUCAAUAUUUGGAUUGAAGUGGUGAGCUUUCAUCCUUUUGGGAGCUCUAUUUCAUGUUACAAACAUUUUUUAGACACUUUGAUUUUAUUUUGGAUAGUGGUUUUGGCCAUGGUUGGGGACAUGUCCCAACCAGAUUUUAUUACUAUUUUUUUUAGAGGCUUCGUGGUUCUGCUAUAGGUUAGAAUGGGCAGGAUUGGUAUUGGUGUCAACCUUGGCAUUGGAAUAAGCUCGAGGGCUAACAUCACCGGACAUAAUUUCUCACUGUUCCAUCAUCUUUCAUUUUGGGAUUAAUUAUAUUAUGUUGUGGAACAUCCUUGGUUAUGGCCCGAUUUAUGGCCCAUGUCUUGGUAUUGGCUUGGUAUGGUUGGAUUGUUAGUGCAGAAAGGCUGGACUCAGUAUGGUCAGUUAUAGUUAUGACCUUAUACCAGAGUCUUCAUGUAAGAUGUUGCACUAUCUUGCUACUUGCUCAAAAUUCAGCCUACUCCGGGCAGGCGGCUGGAGGUUGGGUUGGGUAACGGGGGUGGUCUCCGUCCCGGUCGGACUUAGGAAGCCCAUUACAAUAAUUCCCCCAGCUGGAUCGCAUCAUUAAAGGUGGUGAAAAUUAGGUUGAAUAGAGAGGAGUCUAAUGUAAAGUAUGAUGUAUUAAAGCGCUUAGGGAAGACAACCAUUGUUACUGAAUAGAAUAGUUCCUACCCAUCCAUUAUUAUAACCCUUAAAGUCCUACUUAAUAUUCAGCGUUAAUAUUCUGAUAUAGAGUAAUACACUAAGGGAAAACUUAUGUUUCAUCUUAUGUGUCAUAUGAAUUCCUUGUGAGAGUGAGCAAAAUUUGAAUCUUACACACAUGUUUGUGAUGAAUUACAUAUUUGAGAGUGAAUCUAGAUGACUUUCUGUGGUAAGGGCACAUGUUUGAUGAUGAUUAGGUUAUUUGUAUGAUCUCUUUGUGGAGUACUAUGCAUCAGUGUGCCAACUUGGUAGAGUUAAUUUUAGAGGUUAGGAAUAUUUGAAGUAGUGUUCAUGAGUUUUUUAUUUGUAAUAUAACUUGCUUAAUGGGGAACUUGCUAUUCACAUAGUCGUUGUAGUUCUAGCUUGAGUAUCUUAGUUGUAGUAGUGCUUUUAGAGUGUUCCUUGAUGAUUCUUGAUGUAAAGGAUUUCUUGGAGGAAGAACAAGUCCCUAAGUGUGGGGUGAUGAUCUUAGGCGUAUUUAUACUCCUGAAUGUCAUUAUCUAUUCACAUUUAUCUUAGUUUCGAGGACUUCUUUAUGUGAUUAAUGACUUAUUAAGGGUUUAAUUGUGUAUUUAUAUGUUUAAUAACAUGUUUAGAGUGUUUAAGUUUCAAUUGAAACACGUUAAGAGUCAAAAAGAUCAAAUAGAGUUUAGGCGAGGAAACUAGUUACGCUAGCUUGAACUAUGCUAGGUUCUAGUGUACUUUAAUGAACUCUAUUGUGUUGUAUGAACUAAUUUUUGUUAUUUUAUGUUUUAGGAGACGAAUUUAGGUGAUUUGUAAGAUAAUUGAAGCCUACAAAUAAGUCCUAAGAAGUGGUAAAACAAGGAUCGAACGCACGACGAGAUAUGAUCCAAAUAGAGCAAAAUCGGGCACUUGAGAGUACCCCUUGCACCACACACCCCAUGGUAGGAUAGGGGUUCAUCACGACCCCUAGAGUGACCCCUUAAUUUAUUGUCCUCGUGUUGGGUGUGUUCCACAAUCCCAAAAGCAAAUUGGAGGCCUCGCGACGUGAGACAUCCUCUGGGGCGCCCAAAUCUUGAUUUUAAGCCUCAUAAGUGAGGGACAAUGUUGUCAAUUGAUAUAUUUCGUGUUGAGAUACCAAAGGACAACAUAAAACACUAUAAUUGAAUCAAUUAGUCACAAUCUCAUUUCAUCUUUGGAGCAAUACACGGAUUGGAGAGGAGACAAGCAAGCUAGGGGCUCAAACUAGGGUUCUUUGUUCUUAAAUACUUUCUUGUAGUUUUACUUAAUGAACUCAUCUAUGAUGAUUCUUUGUAAGAUUAUGAGUGGAUAAAAAACCUUAUUAUAGGUUUGAGUCUACUAACAUGAUUGUUUAAUUGUGGUUUAUAGUUAGUUUAGAUGUUUAUCAAGUAUGUGAUUGUUCUUAUGUUCUUGUUUUACUAUUCUAAAGUGCCAUGAACUUUAGCAUAAAUUAUGUCCCUAAAAUGAAUUGACCGUAGGAGUUGAGGGAUUGAAUGAAUAAUGUAAGGAGUGUGAACCAUAUCUUCAUUUAUUAGAAUCUAUUGUUAAAGCAUUAUUUGUGUUUAGGAUAGAGUUAUACCUAAACAUCUCACUUGGUUAAUGGAAUGGGAUGAUAGUUUAAUGCAUCUAAGUUAAAGACUCACAUCCUCUCUCAACAAUGUAGCUGUGAGAUUAAUUAGGGUAGAUGACUUAUAGGAUGACCAUUCCAAAGUUAUAAUAUCAACCCCGUAAACCAACAAUCAUGAUAAACACCAACACCGUCUAUAAAUCAUAGUUAUGCAUGAUAAUGUAGUAAUGUUCCAAUCCCUGAACUCUUUGUCUAUUGUUUACAAUACAAAUUUCAUACUAUUGCUCAUUUUUUCUAUUUAGUUUAUAAUUACCAAACUUAAUUUCUUAAUUGGUUACACUCGCACUUAUUUAAUCUCUUUAGUAACACUAGAAUCAGAUAGUUUUCUAAUCACCAAGUCCCUAUGGGAUGGAUAUUCGGCUCAUAAGAGUUACUUUACUACUUGGGUGAUCACGUACACUUGUGUGUUCGCUAGAAUGCAGCAAUGUUCUAAGUUCACUCUAUAUUGGUCCUGACAGUUUGGGUGACGGUUCAUUAGUGUCCUAGAGAGUCAUCAGCUAAGUUGUCACGUGACUUCGAUUGAGCAUCCAUUAUGUAUAUGCUUUAGUUAUUGACGUGACAAUUUGACAAGGUUCUGAUGGUUUGUCAGACAAGCCUUUACCCAUCUUUCAGCAUAAUUUCAUUCUUUUUGUCCUUAGCUCAAUUUUCUGUAAUUUAAACACUGAAGAACAUCAAAACCAUAAAUGUUUACCCAAAAAAUCCUAAUUAUCCUUCAUUAAAAGCAUCAAAAGUUCCAUUAUUAACUGGCACAUCAACGACCCAAAACAAUGAGACUAUAUUGGGAACCCUAGCUACAUAACAAGGCAUUUCUUAAGAGGAAGAAAGAUCGUCCCAUACCGACUAAGAUAUGAUCUCUCACUAUUGGACAAAUAGAAGGACAUAAUGUUUAGGGAAUUAGGAGGUACCACUACCCCUAUCAAGACAUAUCAAACACAUGUAUUCGAUAAAUAAACACCCCUCCCUUAUUACAAGAAAUAGAUUUUUUUCUCAUAAUUACCCUUUAAGUAAUAGAAAUAUCUUUAUUAUCAUACUUAAGUAUUAGCAUUUUCCUUUAGUUGUUUACUAUUUUCUCUUUAUGAUACUCGAGCUCGAUCAUAUUUGUAUUCUUGACUGAUAUGAUCUAACUAUGCCCACGCUAUGAGAUUUGCUCCUAAUCUCUAUUUGUCUAAUUUAUUUUGAUUUUUUAUUUGUUAUUUACUUUUCCGUAAAUAUUUACCACUAAUCCAAAGCUAAGACCGUAACACAAGCUCCUGAAUCACAAAUAAAUUCAAAUAUACCAAAAAUAAGGUAACUAGUUUGGCACCCUUCGUGGGGCCAGAUCAGCUGUGUGGUUUUCAACUUUGUCACCACUAAUUAGUUUUUGAAUUGUGUUUUUCUUUUUAGGGAAGUAGAUCAUGGCUGCCCACUUUGGAAACACCGAGUUCAGGGGUGAAGCAGGGACUGCAUCAAUGGGACUUACCUGGUGAGACUAAGCAUUUAGAGAUAGAGAAGAGACCCUAGCAUUAUCACAAAGAUUGGUAACCAGUCUAUUAAAGAAAAAAACCCUAUUAUUUAAGGUGAAGAAGCCAUGACAGGGCAAUGAUUUUAGGAUGAUUAUUGGGAAUAACAAUCUAGAUUCGCUAGUGAUAUCGAUGAAUGUAGACGAAUGCAAUGUAAAAAGGGUGAUGGUUGACCUGAGAGCUCUUCCAAAAUCAUUCACAAAGGAGUUUACAACUAGAUGGAGUCGAGUGCCACCAUACAAACCACGAUCGAAGCCCUAGUUGGGUUUAACAUGAAAUCAAGGUAAUUAGUGGUGAGGUAACAUUAGUGUCCAUAGUAAGUGUUGUAAAAAGCCCACUAUAUUUUAUAUUAUUGAUGGAGACAUAAGCUACACCAUCAUACUUGGAAGGUCAUGGAUUCAUGACAAAAAAUUCAUCUCAUCGAUAUACCACCGACUGAUUAAGUUUUCCAUCCCGUAUGGUGGAAAACAAAUAAGGAGGACCUGGCUCCCCUUGUGGAAGCAUUCAUAACUCAGUUGGCAAACCAAAAGUAGUCCUUUGGAUGAAAGCACCGGACAAACUUUUGGAGCCAUAAUCUGAGAAGAUGAAGUGGUAUGAGACUAUAGAGUCUAUUACAUCUUCGAUGAAAGGGACACUAUGAAUAGUAUUGUGGAAGAGCUCAAUAAAGUUUCCUUUUUAUUCUUGAUUACCUCAAGAAAAAAAUGUACUUGGGUUUGGGACAUAGUCCAGAGUCCAAAGCUGCUUACCUUAAUUUCCUAUAUGAUAAUUCCAACUAUUUUUCUUGGUCCCACCUUGAUAUUAUAGGUAUCUCUCCCAAGGUGGCAAUGCCUAAGCUUGGCAUAAACCCUGAUGUAAAGUCACUACAAUAAAGACGAUGGCCUAUGUCCAAAGUGAAUAACAAGUUCCUCAAGAGAGAGGUGGAUUGGUACUUAGGAUAGGUUUGGUAUGAGAAGUCAAGUAUCCCUCUUGGUUGGCGAAUGUUAUGGUGGUACCUAAGAAAUUAGGUAAGUUUAUAAGAGGCAUAGAUUUUAAAGAUAUGAACAAAACAUGCCCACAUGACUUCUUCCCCAUCCUAAACAUUGCUCAUAUGAUCAAUUCUAUAAUCAUAUGACCAAUGCUAUGAUCAGACAUGAAUAAUAAGCUUCCCUGAUGCAUAUUGCAGAUAUAACUAGAUCCAAAUAGAUAUGAAACAUCAAGAGAAAAUGUCCUUUCAAACUAACAAUGGUAAUUUUUGUUAUAAUGCGAUACCAUUUGACCCAAAAAAGGCGAGUAUGACUUACCAACAUUUAGUCAACCACAUAUUUGAAUAUCAUAUAGAAAAAUAAUGGAGGUAUAUAUUAAUACAUGCUCGUAAAAUUGCUAGAGACCUGGAAUCACCAAACGUAUCUCAGGAGGUAUUCACAAUAUUUAGAAAGUAAACGUGAAGCUAAAUUUUGAAAAGCAUGAAUUUGUGUAGGAUUAAGUAAGUUUUUAUUUUUCCUCAUGUCAAAUCAAGGAAUAGAGGUAAACCCAAAUAAAAUCCAUGCCAUCAAAAACAUACCAGAACAAAGGAUUAGGCCUUAAAUAGGAAGGGCCAUAUCGAAUAACCGACAUAGCUAGAAAAAGAUCCUAUCAACUGGCUGACCUUCAAGAAAACUACACAACAAUUGGGAUAUAUGUCACUUAAGGAGAUACUAAUUCUGAUCAAGAAACCUAUGCCAAGGCCUAUACUUUUUUCCUCUUAGAUCGGUCUCUUUUUUCUUUUAAGGUUUUUUGUUCAAUAAGGUUUUUAAUGAAGUAGGAUUCAAAAAGAACCCCCAAGGUAAAAUUUUUGAGGGAAAUAUGAAAUAGAAAUGACUAAGCAUAACUGAGAAUGCUAUAGCAAGCGUAUAGAAUGCUUACUAUUUACUCUUUUGUAAUUCAAUAUUCGGGCACGAUUAAAUGAAAAAGUUAUUAUUAUUUUUGUGCAUAUCAUGAUUGAAACAUAAUAGAAAGGUCUUCAAAUUGCCCAAAAGUUUUGACAUUCAAAGUAUUAGGAGACAUCCUAACUUGCAAAAAUGACACAGACAAAAAUCACACCAAAAAAGGUGUCAGCUGCAACCAACCUAUAAAAAGCAUGCUAGAAGACAAUAUAUAUGUAUGUAUAUAUGUAUGUAUGUAUAUAAUCAUGUGAUGCAUACAAUGAAGUAUAUAGGGCCCAACUGCCUGGUUCUUCGAUUCACUAUGCUUUUUAGAUGUAGAACCCUGCCUCCCGAAUAAAAGAAUGGAUUUAGUGGGACUUCCAUAAUAAAAAUUGAUUAGUGUCCACAACCAACCAUCAAAUAUGAGACAAUUUAGUAAUGGAUUUCAUUGCAAAACAAGCUAUCUACGCAAGCAAUAUUAAAUAUAAUGCUCAUCACCAUCGCACAAAAUAACAGUAAUAAUAAAAGAGAAGAGAAAUGACAAGAUAGCUUGAAUAGCACAACAUAACAUAAAUCCAGUACGACAAACUCUCAAAAAUAAAAUAAUGAAAGAAGACCCUAAGAUAGUUCAAAUUCUAGGAAAUAAAGAAAUAAAUAUUGGAAUGGACACAGGUUUCAGGUACCCUAGCCUAAGAGCCUGAUGCUUCUUCAAAUUGCCUCCGAAGGACGAGUCGUCUAGGGAAGAGGCCACUUCCGUAGGGUUGAAGGGUGAACCAAUAUUGAUAUGGUUAGCUGCUCAAACAUUUUAAAAUUCUUUCUCAAUCAAUAAAGGUUUGGCUAGAACCUUCUCAUGGAUACCCAACUUUUACACCCAAAUCUCUUCAUGACGGAUGCUCACAAAAUAGUCCAUCAUGGAUGAGCAUCGAGCCUAGAUCUUCUCUAACUUUCCUCGAAUGAACUUAACCUUCUCCAAUUUUUAGUAAAAGGUAUACUUUAACCAACCGACAAAUUUUACCUCCCCUAGAGAAGCUGUACUUCAGCCUGAGCUAUCACUCCUUCAACAAAUUUCUCUUUCAAAUGGGUGCACAGUUGUGAAUAAUUAUGAAAGUCCUGAUCAGUUAUUGUCUCUGCACUCUUGACUCUAUUAGAAAGAUUUUUAACUUUGAGGUUUAACUUUGCUUGUGUCUCCUUAUCUACAAAAGAGCAAUUCUUUGAGUUGCAAACCUUUUUUCUAAGGCAGUAAUCGUCUCCUUAAGUUUCCUCAUAUUUAUAUCCACCUAUUCUUAAGAAAGAGAUUCACACAUAUAAGGAUAAGCCCACCACAAAUAAAGAAAUGGAGAGAGAAAAAUUUAUAAAGAGUUUGACAAGCUCACCUGCGACAAAGACCUGGUGAUGCCCUUGAAAAGAGUCCUACGGGAGUAAAAAGCUCCAUACUUCCUCUACAGGGAAGUAAUCUGCCAAGUGAGUUAUGCAUCCCACUGGGGUCCUAUCAAAUUAGUAGAACUAGGGACUACAGGCAUAUCUGAAUAACUACCUCAUUGAUUCCAUCUGCAAGACAUGGAUCAAUAUGAGGCGGAAAGGGAUGAGACACCAAGGAUUGGUAUUUUGAGGCAAUAACUUUAGGAACAUCCAUCUAGGACGUACUCCCUCUAGUAGAGAAGAGACCCACUCAACUAUUACCUCUUAUUUGAGGAUAAAAAUCUCAUAUC
rnacentral:lncRNA from 1 species